rnacentral:lncRNA from 1 species
UUUUAUAACUUUUUACAAUUUUAAGCUUUUUACAAUUUGAAGCCCAAAAUGUUGGGCUUUUAAAGAGUAAGCCCACCAUUUAAAGGGUAAGCCCACCCUUUUUUCAUAAAAAAAAAAAAAAGGGUUACAAUUGGCAAUUGCAACCAGCCAGCCCGCACAAGCACAGGCAGCCCACUUGUUUCAAUUUCAUCACAAUAUCACAGAUUCACAAUACCACACCUAUUUCAAUUUUCAUACCAAGAAAGCAACAACUAACAAGUUAAGCUUAAGUUCACAAUUUGUCUAACAAACUAGUUAAUUAAAAGUGCAUGCAACCAAAAUGAAAUAAGUUAAAUUUUACAAACCAAACUUCCGAAUGAAUUUAGAUUAAAUUACAAACCAAAAGCAAAACAUAGUUUAUAAGCAAGAAAGUGCAUGCAACCAAAACAUAGUUUAUAAACGUAGUUCAUUUCCUUUAGCCCCUUCGGCCUCUUCCCCUUGUUGAUGAAUGACCCGUUGACGUUGGUGUUAAUGGUGGUGGUGGACCCCUUCCUCUUGUUGAUAAUUGAACCCUCCUUUGUGUUGGAUUAGAUGCUCUUGAAAUAGGUGGUCGUGGUCGUGGAGGUAAUGAUGGGCGGCGUUGAACUUGAGGUGGUGGAGGAGGUGGCAUUUCACCUUGUGAGGAGAAUCCUGAUCCUGAUCCCGUCCCGCGAACACAGAGAAUUAUAAUUUUCCGUUUUCUUCUAAAUGCAUCAGCACAGGCAUUAAAUGAACAAAGAUUUUAAAUGAUUUUGAUUUUCUUCUUCUGAUCAAGACUAUCCAGAGGAACAAAGUGUCUUUUGAACUAAGAUGAAAACGGUGCUCAAUUAUGAUACGAAAAGGUACUUAAUGGUCACCACCUAUGCAGAUGCAAUGAGAGAAUAGAUGCGUGGAGGAGAUAAAUUCAGAACAGAGUAAAAACAAGUUAUGAGCAUGUGUAUGAAGUAUGUACUAAACAAGAAAGCCAAAAAGGAUGCAUAAUCCUUCAAAGAACAAAAUAGAUACCGUAUUACAUGAAUACUAAAACUUAACAGCUCAAUACCAAUACAAUAUAUCAGUUCAAAUAAAUACACUGCGGAACACCUAAAAUUCCCAGAAUAAGUUUUCUACGACGCGAAUCAACCUCCAUUUCCAGAUCAAUACAGGUUCCACACGAACCUAUAAAUAUGGAUACUUGAAAAUCAACGCAAUCCUACCCGCUUCUCAGAAAUAAGUUCCCUAAAGAAGUGCUUUCAGUAAAUAUACACUUCCUCAAAGCACAAGUCAACUCUCACUACGCCUAUCUCAGUUCAUCCACUGCUGUAAAUUGUCUGAUCCAGAUUCCGAAUGGUUUUGAGUGAGAGGUGUAUCAAUUCAACUGCUAAACUAAAUCCCUUUUUGCAGAUCCAAAAGCCAAACUCCGUGUAUCACAAAUUUCAAUCGACCAAUCUAAAACAAAUAAUAUACUUAAUCCUUCAGUAAAAUCGAAGUCCAAAUCAACAAUACGGUCCCAAUAGCUUCAAAAUGUGCAUCCAAAUUCCAGAUAAACCCACAUAGGGUUUCAAACUUUAACCAACCGAGAUUCGACAAACCGAAAAUUACCAAUACCCAGAUACAAAAACAUGGAAAUUAGCAAAAAUAAGCAAACCCAGAUAGCCACAAGUUGAACAACUAGGGAUUAUAUCAAAAUUAGAAAAAGUACAAAGUUUGGAUACAGAGAGUGUAGGGAUUAUGAGUGAGAACUGGAGUACCUGAAAAAGCGGGACUGAAGAAUGAUGAGAAGAAGUGACACGAAGGCGACGCUGAGAUGCUGUUUAUCAUCCUUUGAGAUUUUGACGAUCGGAUGACGAUGGAGAUGGGCGGUUGCCAUAUUUUCGGUUUUUGGACGGAUGACGAUGGACCGGCGGGGAUUCGACGAGAGGAUUAGCGAUGACGAUGAGAGCGGCGUGGAUCUCAUCGUAUCCGAGAGAAGCGGGUGGACGAUGAGGAGCGGCGUGGAUUCGAGGAGGAGGGAGCGGGGGACUGUGAAGGAGUGAGCGAGCGGCGCCAGGAGGUGAGAGAGCGAGAGCGACUGAGAGAGUCUGAAAUAACCUAACAAAAAAGGACCUAACUAUGGACGGUUGGAUUUGAUUUUAACAAAUCCAACGGUUCAAGUAAAUGCUAAUUAAAAAUUAAAAAUAAAUAAAUAAAUAAAUAUAUAUAUAUAUAAUAUUCGGUUCGGUUCGGGAUUCCCGAAAGCUUUCAAAUCUGUGGCCAAUUCCCAAACCGAAACUUUCGGUUCGGGAUCGGUUUCGGAUACCGAACGUUUCGGGAAAUUUGGUUCGGGAAUUUUUCGGGCUAAUUUCGGGACGGGAUCGGGACGGUUCGGGAUUUUCGGGAAAAAAUUCCACCCCUACAUAUACAUAGGCAAUGGUCCGUUACAACUUGCUCAUGUCUGCUGGAGAUAACGACUACUCCGUAAUUGACACGUGGACUUUCGGAUCUUAUUGUCUCUUUUGUAAACUCUUCGACGACGACUAUUUAGACAGUGUCCACUGGAGCAGGAGAGAGAGAGAGAGAGAGAGAGAGAGAGGAGGAAGAAGAAGAAGAAGAAGAAAGGAAUGGAAAGGUACGAGAUAGUGAAGGAUAUUGGGUCUGGGAAUUUUGGGGUUGCAAAGCUGGUGAAGGACAAAUGGAGUGGCGAGCUCUUUGCUAUCAAGUUCAUUGAGAGAGGCCAGAAGGUAAUUAAUUAUUUAAUUUCCACACCUUUCAUUUUCUCUGUUUUCCAACUGGGUUUGUGUGUUUUUAUAGAUUGAUGAGCAUGUACAGAGGGAGAUUAUGAACCACAGGUCCUUGAAGCAUCCAAAUAUAAUAAGAUUCAAAGAGGUAUAUUAAUCUCUUAUUUGUGAAAUGGUUUUGGAAUUAAUCUCUGCAGUGAAAAGAAAAAAGGUUAAUUGCAAGUUACGUUAGUGGGGUGUGCAACUUGAAAAAAAAGGAUCACUUUUGAUAGAGAACAAUCAGACUACCUUUUGGCGUUAACUUUUAAUUCCACUUGGUUUAAAAUCAAAUAUUCAUACUUGUUUUAUUCGUCAAUAUCUUUUAAUUCUAUUGUGUGUGUUAAUUUACGUAGGUGCUGUUAACACCAAACGAUUUAGCAAUUGUGAUGGAAUAUGCUGCUGGGGGAGAACUUUUUGAAAAAAUAUGCAAUGCUGGUCGAUUCAGCGAGGACGAGGUAAAAUUUAGAACAAAUUAAUACAUGACUUCUUUUCUUUUCUCUUUUUUUUUUUUUUUUCUUCCUUCAGCCGCAAAUGAUUAAGAAUCUUAGUAGUUGUUUUGAAUUUUCCUUUUUCUUUGGUUCGGUUUCCCGAUUCUUGACAUGGGUUUCUGCAUUCUGCAGGCAAGAUAUUUUUUUCAGCAGCUGAUAUCAGGAGUCAGUUAUUGUCAUUCAAUGGUAAAAUCCUCAACCCAUCGAAAUCAUGAUAUGAUUUGUUCGUUGUAAACAUUUUAAUUCUUGACCUAAUGAUACUAUAUAUACAUAUAUAUAUAUAUAUAUAUAUAUAUAUAUAUUUUUUUUUUUUUUUUUUCUUACUGCAGCAAAUUUGCCACAGAGAUCUUAAAUUGGAGAACACUCUUCUGGAUGGAAGCUCGGCGCCGCGUCUCAAAAUUUGCGAUUUUGGUUAUUCCAAGGCAAUUAACUAGUUAAUUGAUUGUGCAAAUCGUACAGUGAAUUUCAAUUCAAUUUAGUAAUUACUUUCCUUCUAUCUUAUAGUCAUCUGUGUUGCAUUCCCAACCGAAAUCAACUGUUGGAACACCGGCAUACAUUGCACCGGAAGUCCUGUCAAGAAAAGAGUAUGAUGGGAAGGUAAGAUUUUCUGAGACCGGUGUUCAUGUUCGGUUUUUGGUCUUGUCCUUGUCAUUUUAGACCAACAAUUUGGUCACAUAACUAACAUCCGUGUUUUCUCACUCAUUAUCCUUCGAGAAUCUCAGAUUGCGGAUGUUUGGUCCUGUGGGGUUACCUUAUAUGUCAUGCUUGUUGGUGCUUAUCCCUUUGAAGAUCCAGAAGAUCCAAGAAAUUUCAGAAAAACACUUCAGGUAUACGUAUAUCCUUGUGCUACUUGUACUGUUUUUGUUUUGCCUAUUGCCUAUGCCUUUCGAUGUUGUCACCUAACGAUUUUAAUUUGACACUGGCUUGUUGCAGAGGAUUCUUAGUGUCCACUAUUCAAUUCCGGGCUAUGUACGUGUUUCCAUGGAAUGCAGACAUCUCCUUUCCCGAAUCUUCACUGCUAACCCUGAAAAGGUAUUAUUCCGUGCACUCACAAUCAACGGUAUGUAUUUCGUUAAUUGUCAGUCGUGGAUGUACGACAACCCCGCCUAGAAAGACAGAAAACCUACUGUAACUCUUUUGAUUGUUUAUACUUUAAUACUCUUUUGUUUUGAUUCACCGAGAACAGCCAUCGUUGUGCACAUGUUUAAUUGCCAAUCGUUGAUGUGAGUAGACGGCUCACAAUCAUUCCUAGAAAGAUAGAUAACCCUUUAUCACUUUUUGAGUCCUUAUACUUUAUACCCUUCAUUGUGAUUCUCUGAUAACAAUCGUCGAGACACACACGUGGUUGAUUGUCAAUCGUUGAAUUUAAUGCAGAGAAUAACCAUCCCUGAAAUAAAGCAGCAUCCAUGGUUUCUAAAAAACAUCCCAGUAGAAUUCAUGGAGGAAAAUGGCCUCCCAAACAAUGACCAAAAUUAUGAAUCAUCAUCCCAAAGCAAUGAAGAAAUAUUGGCAAUAAUUCAAGAAGGUAGAAAAGCUGCUGCGAACGGCGCCAAAUAUGGCGGACGUUUACUUGGGAGCAUGGAUCUUGAUGAGUUAGACGAUGCUGACAUAGAUGAUAUAGAGACAAGUGGUGAUUUUGUUUGUGCGUUAUGAGUGCAAGUUCGUACCAGGAUUUUCCAGUACGCUCGGGUGCAUCCUAUACACAAGAUUAUUGUAGAAUUUCGGUUUGUAUCAUAUAUACAGCUUUUGCAUUUUGCAGCUGCAGGAGGCCAAAUGCUAUUUCCCAAAAGCAGUUGGAGAUAAGGCGGUUUUUUCGUGACAUAUUGGGGAAUCAAACUGUUUCUUUAGAGAGUGAUGCAUAUUUUACUUUGCUUAGAAGUUUGCUGUCUAGGUCAAUUGUGUGAACUGGCAUUUCCAUUGUAGGCUGUUGCUUCUUAGGUUUGUAAUUUGCAAAAUUUUCAUAACGACUUGUUGCCCGAGCGUUUCAAAGCGUUUAUUCUUGCAUCUAAGGUUCUAUGUUUGAAUCCCUCACCCCCCCCCCCCCGGGCGGCGAUAUGGUUUGUAUCAAAACAAAAUUGUAGAUUUUGAUAUUCUGUUAGCUUGUGACGUAAGCAUUCAUUUAUAGUAGAGUGGACAAAAUCAUAUGUUCAUCAAUAAGCAUUUAUUCUUACAUCGCUAUUGCAGGUCCAAUGGUUAGUUGCUCGUGGUAAAUUGGAGAACAUUGAUUGAAGCAGCUGCUUAAUUAAUUAUUGGCCGCACCAUCAUUGUUUAAUUAUAUGCAUUCACUAUCUAAAUUUUCAGAUCUUUCAUAAUAAACCUUUGGAUUCUCUGAUACUAAGUGGAAAUUUUUUUUUUUUUAAAUCUUAGAGGGGUGUAUAAAAUUAAUCAGUGAAUAUAUUUUUUAGGGAGUUUACUUGACUUCUAUAUAAUCCGAGUGGAUUUGAUUGAAUUCUACAUAGAUUUUAAUGGAGCACGUGAGACUUCUAUCAUGGAUUUUAUAAAAGAAUUAAUUAUCAAGGAUUCUCAAAUGAUCAGUUUAUUGAGGGAAAUGAUAAACAUUCACCAUUCCUAGCUUCUUACAUUCCUGUUUAAUCAUGACUGUUGAUUUUGUUUGAUUUAUUCGGUCUAAUGGUUAAAAAAAAAAGAAAACUAAUGAAAAGGACUUGAAAACUUUGAGUUUUAAUGAUAAGGACAAAAUAAAGGGUAAAGUGAAUAGUACCAGGAUUGACUUUUUAGUGUAAAAAUGUGGUUUUUCGUUAAAGUGAACAGUACCAGGUGCUUUUCGUUAAACUUCCCUAAAAAAAAAGGUGAGUGAAAAGUUAAAAGAUAUGUGUGAAAAUCACUUAAAAAUGUGUAUGAAAAUCACUUCUCUUUAUCAAUAAGCAUUGCUAUUUUCCAAAUUGAGGAAUGACAGCUAUCAUCAUUCUUCCCCCCCCCCCAGCAUCUCCAAUUUACCUUUUCCACACAUCAAACCACAUGAACUCCACUAGCACUUAAAACUAAGUUCUUAAUGCCUUACGAAACUCAUUAUUCUUUUUCCGAUAUUACCCUUGUUUUUGAAAUGCUAACUUCUCUCUCCUACCAAAUUCAGCCCAUAAUUCUGUUUCUAAACCGAAAAAAUACAUUCUUUUUUUUUCUUUUCUAAAACCCCAAAAUGAUCAUUUAGUACUAUGAUCUAAUGAUAUUCUUCUUCAUUUAUAAGUGAGAAGUCUUAGGGUCGAUUCUCGACAAAGGCGAAUUUGAAUCACAUUAUUGCUAGCCAAUUAUAAGGCUAAACACACCACACUCUGUUCGGGUGGAUAAUAUCGUUUGUUAAAAAAAUAAAACCCAAAAUGAAUUGUAUUAUAAAAGAAAAAACCAACCAAAAUUGGUUAUGUAGUUGUAUAUGUUUUCACUUGGAUUCAAUGACUUACCAAGAACAAAAGACAAGAACAUAUGUGAAUUAUUGAACAUUUGAAAAAAAAAAAAAAAAAAAAAAAAAAGAAGCCCACAUCGAUAUACGGGUAAAUAAGCUAAAUUAAAAAAAAAGUAAUUAGCUUUAAUGGAGUCAAAUUUUAAUUUUAAUUUUUUUUCAAUGUUUCGUCUAAAGAAGAGAGCAGAGGAACUUGGCGUUGGCCAUUGCAUGAGUGGCUAAACCAUCAGCUAAACCCAAUGGACCAAAUUUCCAGCUAAUAGGGUAUAUUAUUGGGGCAGCAUGAGAAGACCAUGGAGAAGGAUAUCGAAAGAUUUCAGCUGAAAGAGAAAGAAGAAUGAGAUGGUCCGGAUUGGGAAGAGGGAGGGUAAAAAGUGAUUUUAUUAGUUAUUUAGUUGUACGGUUUAGUUGUAUUCUUCUUCAAUAGUAAAUGAAAAGUAUUAUAUUUGAUUUUCACCAAAGACGUAUUUGAACUAUAUUAUUGCUAAUUCAUUGUGAAGCUUAAUCCACUUCACCACCCCUAAUGUAGAUUAUAUCGUUUGUUUUUAAAAAAAAUGUUUUUAUUAGGGGUAUUGAUGGAAUGAUAAUAAUGAUCUCUUUAAGGCAUUAAAAACUUAGUUUUAAGUGUUAGUAGAGUCCAUGUGUCAUUUAAUGAGUUGAAAAGGCAAAUCGGGAAAAGUAAGAGGAGAAGGUAGCUAACGUUUUUCUUUCAUUAUUUGAAAUAGUGAUUAUGACCAUCACAAGUGCCUAUUUUAUUUAAUUUUGAGGCUAUUACUAACCAAAUGCUCUUGCUUGGAGAUAGCCUAAGGUCAUUUCCAACUGAAAUGACUAAAUGUAGCCCCUCCAAAAUUAUAGCCUUGUAAAAAAUUAUUUUAAAUGAGCAAUAUUAGGGCAUACUCAUAUACUAUCUUCAACAGAAAUGGCUAACUAAUUCAUUAGCUUUAAAUUUAUAAUGAAUAGUGUCAGUUAAAGGUAAGAAUGUGGUUUUUCAUUAAAAGUGAACAAUACCGGGAGUGUUUUGUUAAAACUCCCUUAAAUUUAUUGGUUAAUUUAAUUAAACAAUCUUUAGAUAUUUUUAAAUCUAGUCGUUGAGUUUGAAUUAAGGAAAAAUUAGGUUCUCAUCCUUCAUUUUGCUACUCCAUUGAUUAAAAUCCUAUUCCUUUUCAAUUUUUGAUCAAGGUCCUUGGGUAUUAAUAACAUCAUUAAUUAUUUCAAUAAUAAAAUAUUUUUUAUUUCUAAAUAUAUUCAUUUAAUGUUAAAAAUGUUACAAUUAGUAUAUUUAUAUUUAUCACUAAAUUUUUUAUCAUAUAUUUUUACUUUUAGUUUGUACCCAUUUUUAAUUUGUAAUUCUUUUUUAACUUGUACCUAUUUUCUUUUCAAUUUUAAUUUGUACCCAUAUUAAUUUCUUUUUUUGCCCAUAUUUUUUAAACUUUAUUUGUAUUUGUACCCAUAUAUAUAUAUAUAUAUAUAUAUAUAUAUAUAUAUAUAUAUAUAUUUUACUUUUUAUUUGCCUAAAUGUACCCAUGCUAAUUAUAUGUACCCAUUCAUGUAAAAAGUUUUAAUCUUAAAAUGUAUUCAUUCUUAAAUAUACUAAUUUGUUAUAUGGAAAAUGUACCCCUUUUUUUUAUAUAUAAAAUCUAUUCAAAUUUUUUCUAAUCCAUUUUUAAACUUAUAUGGGUACUUUCUUUUUUCUUUGAUUUUAAAAUGUAUCCAUGUCAAGUUUAAUCGAAGAAAUUUACUACUGUUGUUAAGCCUAAUAUCUUUUUUUUUUUUUUUGUGAUUUUGAAGAAUGUACCCAUGUUUUGAUACAAUAAUUGUUUUUGGUUAAUUUUGAUGAAUGUACCCAUGUACACACACACACACACACACACACACAAUAGUAUAUUUAUAUUUUAAUAUUUUUAAUCCCACAAAUUAUGGUUUUUUUUAUUUAAAAUCUCAUUUAUAUAAACAACUAAAAUUUCUAAUUUUUAAUUAAAAAAAUAUAGUAACGUACAUAGAAAUAAAUUAUCACAUUAAUGUCAGGGAUCUCAAUAAAAAAUUAAAAACCAACAAGGUUUCAGUUAAAAAAUAUUCGUAACUAGGGACCGCAUCCAAAGUCUCCCUUGAAUUAAUCAUUGCAACAGGAGGUGACUCCCAUAAUAAGGCUAAGGUCAUCUCCAACCGGGCUGACCAAAGGGUUAUAGGUCGAAACAUAGCUUAUUUUUGACACAAAAGCUAUCUCCAAUGAAGGGCUGGGCAAAAGAGAUUUGGGAUCCACUAGGCCAUAAACUAGCCAAAUGGCUAGCGGGCUGGCCAAAGAUAGCCAGCCGGCCAAAGAUAGCCAGCCAGCCAGCCCGGAAAGGAAAGUCCAAAUGUUCUCCAAUAGUAACAUGAUGUCAUCCUGACGUCAGUUUUGGAAUUUAUUAAUUUUUUUAGGACUUUAUUUUUUAUAGACGAAAUUUAAAAAAAAAAAAAUUAGAGGGCAUAGAGUACAAACUAAGAGAUUCACUAACUGGCGUGCAACCACAAUUUGUUUACCAUAAAUCAACUAAACUCACCACAUCCGCAAAUACCCAAUUGCCCAAAGCUGCAAAUACCCCUUUUUUUUUUUUUUCACUUCUUGGCACUGGCAUGUUUCCCCCAUUCCCUUUCAUGCCUUCCAGAAGCCUCCUCAUCUUUCCUUUUCUCCCUUUUUUUUUCUCAUAUUUUAUAAUAUAAAUAUUAUUCUUACUCCUCCCUCAUAAAAUUCCAAAGGUAGGUAUCCAACUAGAAUAUUAUUAAAGACAUAUAUAAUUGUUUAUUGAGUUAUUCACUUUGAGCAACACACCAAUUAUUACUUUUUAGCAUUGUUCUAAAAAUCCCCAUCUAGCGCCGCCUAGGCGCUAGUUGGCUAGCCACUGUCCCGAUUAAUGCCUAGGCGUUUGAAAAUUAAGAAAUAACGCUUAGACCUACUGAGGCGCCCGUCUAAACCGCCUAGCCCGCCCAGACCCACCUAGGUUGCAACUCACUUAGACAGAAAAUAGAUAACUUUCAUUUUGCAUUUUAUUUUUACAAUGAAUUAUAAGAGACUUGUUGAAUACUUAAAUGAACACACAUUAUAUUCCCACAUUUUCAUUAUAUUCCAAAAGCUCAUAAUAGAUAUGUCAUUCUAUUUUAUAGUUUAUGAUGAAAUCAUAUAUAUUUUAAGUAUAAACAUAUACUUAUUUACACGAAAUAUAAUAGAUUUAAUUAAGUCUGCCUAGGCACCUGCUUAGACCCCGCCUAAGCGCUAGGCCCCAGACCACCGCCCGACUAAUGCCUAGCGUCUUUUAGAACCUUGCCUUUUAGCAUUAAAACGUUAUACAAUGAGUUAAAUAAUAAUACUUACAUAUAGGGUUUCACAAUGAAUGGAAUAUUUCACAUAGAAAAGUAGGAAUCGGUUAUAACAUGACACUCGAAAAUCCUAUUUGAAAAAUUAUUAAGAUUACAUAAAGAUAAGAAAUAUGUAGAGUUACUCACUUUAGCAACACGUAUCACUCGAAAUCAUAUCCGAAAAAUUAUUAAGAUUAUAUAAAGAUAAAAAAUCUGGAGGCUUAUUCAUUUAGUAACAAGCGACACUCAAUAUAUGUCCAGAAAUCUUAUUUUAAUAUAUGGUAGUUUAAUUUAAUUAACUAAUAAAAUUAAAGAACAAUUUUAAAAUAAUACAUUAUUGAGGGGCUAAAAAAUAGCCCCCUUUGGUUGGGGACGAUAUAUAAAUAUGGCAUGACACUGUUCAUUAAAAAAUAAUUUCUUGCAGGGCUAAAUAUAGCAUUUUAGGUUGGAGAUGGCCUAAGAAGGGCUACAUUUGGUAAGCCUGAUGACCAUUUAGCCAAAUAAUGGUUUAAUGGGCCCUAUAGGAUUAUAGUCCAGUCAUUAGUUGGAGGUGAUUUUUUUGUCAAAUCAGGUUACUUUUUAACUUUUAGCUCUCUUCAUUGGAGAUGACCUAAGAUCCAUACUCUUCUAAAGAGCAUGAGCCCAAUACAGUCUUGGAUAGUUGAUAGCAACCCAGCCUAAUUUUUAGGCCUCCGCUCGUCCAUCAGUUCAACCAGUGACAUGUACGGUGUAAAACAAAUGUACGGUGUAAAACAAAUUAAGACAUACAAUCAGUCCCUCAUAACACCACAUAAGAACCCUAACCAUUCUCGCAUAUUUAGACCAUCUCUAACCAAUUCGGCCAGAGGGCCGAAAAUAGCCUGAAAUCACACGACAACCAUAUCCAACCGAAGGCUAGGCCAAAGGGCUCGUGGGCCCCACCGAGCCAAAAAAGAGAAAAUAGGCCAACCGACUGGCCCAAAGGAGCCAGCUAACUAGCCUCGGGCCGGCCCAAAAAUUUGAAACCAACGACUACCUAGCGUCAGCAUGAUGCUAGUUAGCAACGACUAGCUAACGUCAUCCUGACGCCAGGUGACAGUUGGAUUUGAAUUAUUAUUAUUGUUUUUUUGGGACAAAAUGUUUUUAAAAUUUUUUUAAAAAAAAUUCCCAUAUUUUUUCCUUUAAAUACCUAAGCCAUUCCUACACCAUUUCUCACAUAAUUUUCACCAUUCCAUACUAUCUUACUUCAUUAUAUUUCAAUUCUUCACAUUCUAUUUUCUUGCAUCUUCCAUUAAUCUUUCCUUCAAUUUUUCAAUAAUUUUCAAAUGGCCACAUCUGCAAUGAAAGGUAGGGCUUGGACCCAAAAAGAAGAUGAAGCUCUUUUCAGGGUUUAUAGAUGGAUCUUGAAAGAUAGUGUGAGGGGGAGUUCUCAAACAAGUGAAGCUGUUUGGACUCGUACGUCCAAAAAAUACUAUGAGUUCUACGAAGGCACCACUCCACCGAAUACCUGAAACCACGAGAGUUGUUCUUCAAGAUGAAAGAAACAUCUUCAUCCAAGUUUUAAUAAAUGGAAAGCACUAUUAACAGCCGCAAGUAGACAUGCAAGCGGUGCCAAUUACUACGACGAAGUAAGUGUUUUCACAAUUUAUUUUAAAUAUUUAAUUAUAUUACAUUUAAUUUCAUAAAUUAAUUUUCUAUAAUUUUUGUAAUUAUAUUUUCUAAGUACGCCAAGCGGAGGAAUUCUAUAUGGAGGACAAUUCGAAACCCUUUAAUCAUCACGGUUGUUGGGAAAUUUGUAAAGGGUGGGUGUUAUUUGAAGAUCUACCUCAACAAAGAGUAGGUCCUACGCCAGUGUUCGGAAAUGCAUCCUUAAUUGCAGAUGGGGAUGAAGUUGGAUCUCUUACCAUUCAAGAAACAAGGGUAGAAAAUUCGUCUAUGGGUGAAGGUUCUAUACCUAGGGCUAUGGGAUGAAAUAAGGCCUAAAAAUUGAAGGAAAAAGGCAAGGCAAAUGAUGAUUACGCCUUUCAACAGGAAAUGGCAGCCUCUUUGCGAUUAAUGGCGGAGCAAAAUGCCAUUGUCGUAAAAGAAAGGAACUGUAGGCAUGAAGAACGGACCAAACAAAUACAAGAAGAGAUAGAUGAUAGGAAUAACAAAAGGAACACUUUGGAUUACACUCCAAUGAGUAAGGCCUAUUUUGAUAGGAAAAAGAAGAAAAUUAUGGCCCGAUGGGAGUUGUUUACCUCCGACUAUAAUCCUACAAUGGUGGAUGAUGAUGAUGAUUAUAGACUUUAAAUUUAAGUUGUAGUUUUUAAAUUUAAGUUCUUGUAGUUUUUAAAUUAAAAUAAUAAAUUAUGUUUGGCCCUAUGACCCUUUGGCCCCCUCGGUUGGAGAUGGUUUUUUGUCACAGGGCUAUGUUUAGCCUAUGGUCAUCUGACCCUUUGGUUAGAGAUGGUAAGAAAUAUGGUUUGGCAUUGUUCAUUAAAAUAUUAAUUUCUUGGAUGGCUAUAGGGCUAAAACGAGCCUUUAGCCAUCCUUUUGUUGGAGAUGACCUUAAAUUCCACCAAAGCUCAACCCCCAAAACCCUAACAAGCUGCCAAGAUCUCGUCCAAUUCUAUUGGUUUAGCAGGCGGAGCAUUUCUUUCUUCCUGGUUGUCGGCGGCGGAGCAAGCAUGAAGGUUUAGAUCUGUCUCACUUUUUCCAAACCCGAACUCUAACGUCUUUCUCUGUUUCAUUGAUCGACGUUUCGGUUCGUUCAUUUCUUUUGGUUGUUUUAGUUUAACAUUGCGAAUCCCACCACUGGGUGCCAAGAAGAAGCUUGAGAUCGACGACGUCGACAAACUGUAUGGAAACCCUUCCUCUAAUUCUCCUUAAUUUGGGUUUUUGUUUGCUUUUGGAAUGGAUAAUAUGAUCAUUUUCUUUGCAAUUGAGGUGGUUUAUGGGAUUGGAUUAGUUUGUAUGAUCUUUGAGGUCUGUUUGGCUGCUGAGAUAUUGUGGACAGUGUUUGGGUUAAUAUUUGAACAUUAGGCUAUAAGAAUAAAGAACGCCAGAGAUGCCAGUUAAAAGAAGACUUGCCCGAAGCCCAGCACCAGGCCCAGAGAGCCCAGAGACAAAUUCGCACCUCCCCAUUAAUGCAUAGACCAUGUGUCCAUGAUUUGAAUGUCAAGUGAUGGAGACUAACUCACAAUCAGCCAAAAAGCACUUUUUGUGGCAAUACAAGUAAAAAGAUGAUGAGUUACUACCCUCCAAAUGCUUUCGGGCAAAAGCGAAGUCAUAGUAGUUGGGCUAAUUCGCCUACAAAAGGAAAAAGAGGCCCUAGAGACAAGGACACUUAACUAAUUAAACAAAUAAACAUACAAACUCUGCUUUCAAGCCAGAUUUGCAUCCAGAAACUGAAAUCAACCCAGAUUUAGUCAUUUUUAGCAACAAGCUAUCUUUCUCUCUAGUUUAAAAGCUCUACUAUCUCCCUUAGUGGCGUAGUAUCGAUUAUCUUGUGUAAACCUGUUUACUACCCACCCUUUUUUUAGCAUACAAACCCCUGUAAUCACAAAGAGAAGUGACCGCAAGAAGUUCAACCAUGACAGACAAGGUGAAAUCUUUUCCGAAGCUCUUUGUUUUAUUUUCUGAAUUUGUAGAUCUAUUACGUAAUGCAUUCCCCAAUAUGUAUUCAAGUCAUGUCCACCUGUUGUCCUACUUUAAGAGUCCUAUUUGCAUCUAGAUCUGGUUAGUUUAAUGGAUAGACAAUCAUUAAAAUCAAUCAAGAACCAAGCAAAUGGCUAAAUGGCUUAAAGAGGAUCUGGACUCCCUUCAUACGAACAUACAAGACUAUGAACUGAAAGUCCUUGGUCACAAGGCAAGAAAAAGAACUUAAUGUGGACUUAACCCAUCCACGACAAUCCUUUGAUAACAAGAAGUCCGAGUAACUUGGGGCGCAAGUAAUCGACUAAACACACACUUGUUCUACGUCUGCUAUUCUGAGAUAUAGUAGUGGCACGCCUAGCACUCAGUUAGUUUUGAUUGUGAGCCUCAAGGCCUACACCUAAAGCCGCAUAAAGGCAUAUUUCAGAACUAACUCUGUCCUCUUCUUGCAAUGCAUCAACAAGCAAGAGCUUGACUACACAUCCAAAAGUGCCAAUCCCUUGGGAAGAUGGAAGAUGUGCUGAGGUCCGAGGAGCCCUCUCCGGAGAAAUCUUCACCCGAACAUAGUUUUGGCACACCUGGUGGGAUACAUUUAGUCUUGUAUGCCAAGAAGAAGAAUGAAGAUAAAAUCUUUGAAUGGAACACACAAUACGGGCCACCCUAGUGUUUACUAAAACUAAGCAUGACAAAUCACCCAGAGGAUUUUCCUUCCCUCUAAGGACCAGUUAUUCUAGAAAACCCAAGCUCAUCCGAGAGGUCAGGAAGGAAGGUGACUAAUGAAGACUUGCAAGCCACUAUGAUGUAAGUAUUGAAAACUAUGGAGAGUAUCACUCUGGAAACCAGAGGAGAAGUAAGCAGACUUUGUUUUUUAACAGGGAGUUUGCAAAGAGUAUUAGAUCUGGAGUACACUACUCCAAGAAAUGGUCAUGCUAGGGAAGUGAUGAUAGAGGCUAGUCCUGAGAAAGAACCAGUUAUUCCCCUAUUUCCUUUGCUUGAGGAAAAACGGGAUAAAGGAAAAAACAAGGAAUGAUCUGGAGCUGGUCAGCCAGUGUUGGUGGAAAUCCUAGAUGUGGAGUUGCCGGACCCUCUAUUAUUUUCAAUAGAUAGUAGGGGGCAAAACAGGCAAGAAGAAAGAAUGAAGUAUAGGAUGCCUCAAUUGAUCAGCAGGGAAUCUAGUGGAAAAUGCGAGCCUACCAAGGCAGAAAAGCCUCCUCCUUACAGGCCCCGCCAUCUGCCUCCUUACAGGCCCCCGCCAUUGUCUAGUAAGGGAGGGGAUGCCAAGUGGAUAAGCCCGAAACAAGGAAUAAGACUUUCUCAGGCACUGAUCGUAGCCUGAAGUGGGAAGCCCCACAUACCUCAUACAACAAUAUGGCUAACCAGUAGCUCAGAGAUGAACUAGCCGAGUUAAGGAGAAUAGUGGCCCAGAAUGCUCAACCUCAAGCUCGCCCGCUGUUCAGGAUCAUCUACCAUAAGCCAUACCCGGAGUAUAUUGAUGAGCAAAAAUCCUUUUCCACUCAACUUCAUGAUGCCCGCGUUUCCCACUUUUAGUGGGGAGGAUAGCAGUGUAUCCUCUAAAGAUCACAUCUUCAAGUUCUCCAACCAUUACGUGGCAUUUGAGGACAAUCCUAAUUAUAAGUUAAGAUUGUUUGGGAACUCAUUGGUUAGCCUAGCAUCUCAAUGGUAUUCUCUAUUGCCUUUCAAUUCUAUUGCUAACUGGGGGCAAAUGAAGAUGGCUUUCCAUUAGCAGUUUUAUAGGAUGGAGCCCGAGAUAUCUAUCAAUGACUUGGUGGAGGUAAAGUAAUAUGAACAUGAGUCUACAUAGGACUUCAUGAUGAGGUUUAGAAGGACAAGAAUGAGGUGCCAAUUCCCUAUCAAUCAUGCCCAACUUAUAUCCAUUGCUCAGAAAGCCUUAAGGCUACCUUUGAGGAAAAAGUUCUAUAAUGUACAGUUCAAUGAGUUGCAAGAGUUGGUGAUUGCUGCCACAAAGUAUGAGAAGUUGUUGCUUGAAGAACAACAAGUAAAACACUUAUCUAAAGUUCCUUAUUUCUACAAAAGCAAAGCUACAAUUCACCAAGUGAAUUUUGAAGAGGCGGAGCCAGAAGAGAGUGAUGGCCAUAGAAGAGAAGGGAUGGACGUGUGUCUAGCAGAGAUGACUACCCCCUUUAAAUCGUUAAUAGUGAAGAGGUUAGUCCAACCAAUCGAUGAUCAGAAAGUGGUGAUGAAUGAUGGUGGAUUUGUCCACGUGAAGCCCCCCAAAUACCAGAGUUAUUCCUUUGAUUUAACCGAGACAUCGGAGAUCUAUGAAGAGUUGGUGCGGGCAAGAGUGAUUAUGCCCGACAGCACCAAAAAGAUGCCAAAACCAGAGGAACUAAAAGGGAAAAAGUAUUGCAAGUUGCAUUAUACUUUCAAUCACUUCAUAACCAACUGUGUCUAGUUUAGGUACUGGAUACAAGACCUUAUCGUGAAAUGAAGGUUGUUGUUAGAAAAACCACAAGCCAAUAUGAUGAUUGAUACAGAUCCUUUCCCAUAAGCCCCAAUAAACAUGAUCAACUUAAUGUGGGCUAAGAAAGGGAAAUGGAAGGCUACCUGGGAAGUCAAAGCAGGAAGGAGGCAAGUUGACAGGCUAACAGAAUGAGUUAUCAAGUUGCCCAAGAAGCCCAAAGCAAUCAUAGUCAAAGAAGUGGUAUUAUGCGGCAGGUGUCAGUGUGAAUGUGAGUUGGAAGUACCAACAUCAGGAGCUAUCAUUGAUCAAGAGUUGAUUAAAAGAAGAAAGAAAGAAGAACAAGAAGCCUGCAGAAGUAUCUUGCAGACAGCUGAGAAAGAGACCUCCAGAAAUGUUUUCCAAAGGUUGGGAGGAGAUUCUCAAUGAAAGGGCUUAUUAGAGGUAUUCAGAAAUUAUGAAGUCUCUGGACAGGUGGAGGACAGAGAAGCCAAAAUACCAAGAUGGGUGGAUGUGAGGCUACCCCAGCCUAGCUAUGCCGGUAGAGAUGUCAGAAGAAGGGAAAUGAUAGUGAAUCCAGUCACGAAGAAGAAUCCUGCCCGACUCGAGCGAAAAUGGUAUGUGGUUGGAAUGAUGGGAGACUCGUAAGAGAAAUGGGAGCCUCUAUGAUUAUGAGAGUUCAGAGGCAGCACAAAAUCCACAUGAACUCAUUAAAAAUCCCCACUACCUCAGAAACCUCUGAGAAUGUGAAAUUUGAGAAAGUACCUCAUAGGGGAAGAAAUCAACUUCAAUGGAAGAGCAAGAAGGAGGUAGAAAAGGCAAAUAGCAAGACUGAGGGGGGAAGGAGAUCAUGUGUGAUAGGAGCAUAUUUAUGCGACUUAGUUAGCUUGUUUCUUGGCAUUUAUGUUGUUAGUUCGUAGUUAUUUUAGUAUUUUAAGCUAUUUUCGUGUGUUUGUAGGUCCAAAGGGUUAAUGUGGCAAAGAAGUGCAUUUUGGAGCAUUUUAGAGCAUUUUUUGGCAUGGAAUGGAUAACAUAUGCUUGGAGCAAAAGGAAUGGACGAAAUUUGAAGUUUGUGCAUCAUCCUCUCCCUAUAAAUAACCAUUUUAGCACACUCAUUUCACCCAACACAUCCAUUUAUUAUAACCACCCAACACAUUCACCUACCACUACAUCCACUCAUUUCACCCAACACAUCCACUUAUUACAACCACCCAACACAUUCACCUACCACUACAUCCACUCAUUUCACCCAACACAUCCAUUCACCAACCACCUACCACUACAUCCACUCAUUUCACCCAACACAUCCACCAUAUUACAACCACCCAACACAUUCACCUACCACUACAUCCACUCAUUUCACCCAACACAUCCACUCAUUACAACCACCCAACACAUUCACCUACCACUACAUCCACUCAUUUCACCCAACACAUCCACUCAUUUCAACCACCCAACACAUUCACCUACCACUACAUCCACUCAUUACCACCACCCACUACAUCCUCUCCCUAGCCUAUAAAUAUAUCCAUCCAAAGACACAUUUGGAGGGGGGGACAGUUUAGGGAGAAGGGAGGAAGACACAUUCUGCUGCAAGGCAGAGUCUUUUCUUCUUAACCAUUCUACACAUUCCCACAACAAAAACACAAUUCCAUGCACCUUCAUUUCCCUUUCCUUGCCGUGACCUCCAUCCAACCUAAACACAUUCAGCCAUUCCCUUCCAUAUAUCCAUAUGCAUCCAUCAAACCACACCUUGUGCAGCAACAAAGAGAAGAAGGAAGAUCCUUGGACGUGUUUGCCAUUCAAGUUGGAUUGUUGGAGCGUUUUUAGGUGUUUUCUUUCUUUUGUUUUCAAUGUCUAAAUUUGUUUAUCUUUGCUUUGUGAGUAUGAGGAACUAAACCCCCCUUUAGCUAGGGGGAAUUCAAAGCCAUAAACAUACUUGCAAUAUGAAUUGAUUACCUUCAGUUGUGAUUUCAUAAGUUGUGAAUUCAAUUUGUUUAACUGCUUGAUUGAUAACUUAUUCGUGUAUGUUUAUUAAGAGUGCACACUUAGUUUGCAUGCAUGAAUAUGAUGCUAGAGUAUAAAGUGAAGGGAAAUCUUAGAGAUUAAUAUGGGAUUUCGAAAUGACUAGCAUGCAUAUACAAUUCGAAAAUAAUAUACAUAAGCAACGGAAGCAUGUUAUCAAAUAAAAUCAAAGCUAUAGUCAUGCAAAUCCCCUUCAAGGUUCAUAGGUUUAUAUAUAAUGCAUCUAAAACAUUUAAGUUAAGAACAAAGUGAAGGAAUAGAUCUAUACCUCUUGAUCUAGAUUUUAGACCAAGGAUGGACCACCUCCAAGCCCUUUGCUCCUUGAACUCCUUGAGCCUAGCCUCCCUCCUUGCCUCCUCCACUUUGUUGGUAAGAGUGCUCCUAGGUUCUCCUUUAGUCUCCAAAGGAGAAGACUUCUAAAGAUCCACACCCACUAGUGUAGUGAGAUGGAUGGAGGAAUAACCAAAAGAGUGAAAAAGGAUUAGCUAAAUCACCCUUAAGGUGGCCGGCCUUUGUGUAGUUUUAGAGAGAUAUUUCUUUUGCCUCUUUGUUGUUUUAAACACACAAAAACCCUAAGGAAUAAAUCUCUAUAAAGUUCCUUAUAUAGACAAAAAGAAACCUAGUCAACAACUUGACUUAAUAUCUCUCCCUCUCCACUUUAAAUGGCCGGCCCCUUUGUGUUGGUUUGGGCUUUGGGCUUUUAUUUAUUUCUAGUCAUCCAAUGCUUGAAUAAAAGUCCAAUGGGUUUAGGCCCAAUGGGCCCAAUUAAACCCGAACGUUUCUUUAAGCCCAAAACGAUCUUUUAUCGCUUUUAUGAUUUCUUUAGACUUUCUAAAUUAAUCACAACACUUAAUUAAUCCAAUUAAUUAUUUCCAUCAUCCAUUAAUUACUCAUCACAAGAGUGUAUCGGUGUACAAUCAUUUUAGGUUCUAAUUAGCAAGGUAGUGAGGUGAUUGACAUCAAUCCAAUUGAUUAUAUUUAAUUCAAUCACGUAGUGAAUUAAAACUUCCUUUUAAUUCACCUUCUUCUUUGAUGACUACAUUUAAUCAUCUAGAAGAACUCACAAGCUAUGAGUGACAUCUAACCAUUAUAUCAUAGCUACCCAAGCUAAUGUAGAAGUUGUUCGGAGAACCUAUUCAGUUGGAAUUACAAUGUAAUUCGAUCCUUCUCUAAAACAAUACUCUCAAUCACAUUACUAGGGUAUGGAUAUAUUAUGUCAAACCCCUAAUGUGAUUAUUCCUUCUUAUAUGAUUCAAUUGAGUCGUAUAGGAACGCUUUCCUUUAUUACGCUCGAUACUUCGGCCGAAGAUUCCCGAAUCAUAUCUUAGAGUAUUCUUCCUCUCUUAUCGAGGAUUAGAGAUUCCUUGUUGCGCAUUCACUUGCCUUCAUGACUAAGUGGCUUAACCCCAAUUAUGCCGUGGAUACCCACGAAUGGGGUGACUUUGACAUAAUCAAAGAUUAAGUACUUAGCCACAAGACAACGACGAUGCCUCAGGUCAAAGGACUACUUACAUUAUUCCAACCAUUAGAGUUACUUGCUUGACAUGUGAGUAGACCUCCAUGCAAGUACUCUCGUUCGAUUGUGUUCAAUGAACUCAUUCCCUUAAUGAGCACCUACAUACUUGUCUUAGUGUCACCACACGAAUGGGAUGAGACUUUCCAUCCUUCCAUUUGAAGCAGACACAGUAUGUACCGGUCUAAGCAUUGUCAGUAUCCCUCCGACAAUCCAAUGACCAGGAACCUUUUUGGACAUUAUGGUUAUGUGAAGAAGGUCUCUGUAGUCUAACAUCAUUAGAUUACUUCUUCAAUCGAUCCAUUGUCCAUGGAUUCACUAUUUAGGACAUAUAUCGUUUAUUGAGAUAGUCCUAAUUAGUAUCUUUGCCAUUUGAUGUAUAAGAAUCAUCUAUACAUCCAUUCAUUUGUCCUAAAAGGUUUCUUCCAAAGAUUGACUUUGAGGGCAUAUUUCCAACAUAAAGGAGUUUCACCUAAUAGUUACAAACUUAUAUUCACAAGUAGUGGAGGUCGCUUAUAAACGAUCGCGUUAAAUGAAUUCUUGGCAGGAGUUUCAUGCUCAUCAUAGUAACGAAUGCCACGUCAAUACUUAUAGUUUUCAUAAUGCUUAAUGAUCUUUGAUUGUAUCUUUAUUGUGCUGUUCACGAAAAGGACUUUUGAAGAAUGCUUGAAUUGUUGUAUGCGCUUUCCCAUCCAAUUCAAUAACUUAAGGUGAACUUGAACGUUAAUUUAAGCGGACUUAAUUAACCUAGGGUGUUGAGUUUCAUGACUUAUCGAAUGAACAACUGAAAAUUGGUUUAUGUGCAAGUGUGUCAUGUGUGGAGAAGAACCCUCUAGCUAGCCCAUCAUCCAUAGUUUACCCAAAUUCGUCCAAAAUCUGUUUUAGUUUACAAUUUGUUCGUUUUGUUUUCAAAUUCGUCAAAAUCAAACCCCCCUUACUUUAAAGUGUUUUAUUAGUCAAAAUCUAUUUUAAUUUGUGUUUUUAAGUGUCUUGAGUCAAGUCAGAACCUAAUUUCGUCCAAAACCAUCCCUAGAGUCAAUUUAGAGUCUAAUUCAUUGUUUUAAGCUGUUUUGAGUCUUUUAAACUAGUUUGAGUCUUUUUAGUUUGUAUUGCAUCUUUUGAGUCUAGUUUGGUGUUUUAAACUUAAUUUUAUGUUUUUAAGUCAGUUUAGAGGUUAUUAGCAAGCCCUCCUAAUCCCCGGUCCAGAACGAUCCCUACUUACAUUUUUUACUACAAUUGAUACAAGAGGGUUAAUUUGUGUGUUAAGUAAUUUUUGCACCAAUGUGCCACAAAACCCUUAUCCAGGAAAGUACAUAAUCUUGAGGAGAGCUCAAGAAGAUAUGGUGAUGAUGCCAACCCCAAGAUGGAGCCCAGAACCCAUAUAUUUUGGAAUUAUCUCACUUGAGAGGGGGAUACCCUCACCAUUAUUGGUUGGUACUCUUUGUGAAGUUCCAGGACCAAUGCCAAACUUUGACCUAACUCAAGAGGAAGCGUUGCCUGAGUUGAUGUUGCCCGAAAAAGCACAGGCCUCAUUAGAUGAAUUCAUGGACCGUAUUGGGGGUAAGAAUGAUGACUUACCUAGGCCUUCCACGUAAACAUGACAUAUGUUUUAUCUGCUAUGUUUUUCCCUAAGCAUGAUCAACCUACCACAAUAGAGGGUGAUUACUUGGCUACAUAACCCAUGACGGCACAUGUUAGUGUUGAAGAAGCGGGAAAACAAGAGUUGGGCAGAAUAAGGUUACCCGAACGCACAAAGAAAGAACCCAAGAGAAUAUACUAAGAUACAAUAGUCUUCAGUCGCUUGAGUUUGAUCCUAGCCAACCAUCUCAAGCUUAUUUAUGUAACUGCUGCUCAUCUGGAAGGAGUGCUCUUUAAGAGGUUUUUGAUUGAUAGAGGAGCUAUGGUCAAUGUGUUGCCCUUGGAAAUUAACUUGGGUUCAAAGCAAAUCAUGCUAACCUUCUUCGUGGUGGACAACACUUCCACUUAUGGAGAUUUACUAGGCCGAGAUUGGAUUCAUUAGAGUCUCUCUGUGCCUUCCACCCUACACCAACAGGUAGCAGUUUACCACGAGGAAAGAGCCAUGAGACCAGGAUUUUAGGAGAUGGUGGAGGUUGAGUCACGACCAUUCUUCCCCACUGCUAAUGUUGCAGAAGCCAGUUUUUAUAAUCCUAGUGUUGGGAUUCUCUAAUGCUUAAGAACUGAUAAGAACGGCCCAACUAAGGUGACGGCCAAAAGCUUCUAGAACAAGGAUUACUCCUCACCAAGGAAGUAUGGGAUAGGCCCCAUAUUGUCCCAACUCCUCAACACCAGUAAUGACAGAACAAAAAAGAAAGGACCAAGUAGUUGUAGUCAGGUCCUUAAUCAAAAUACUAUUGAUGUAUGGAAGAGAGAGAAAACAAGGAAAGAAAGAGAGCGGUUGCCCAAGCUUACAAUAAAAAGUAAAGUUAAAGACCUUUAAGGAAGGUGAAUUAAUUUGGAAAACAGUUUUACCCUUAGGAGCUCAAAUAUGAAGCUUUGGGAAAUGGAGUCCUACUUGGGAAAGUCAUUUUGUUAUUCACUAAGCGCUGGAUAAGGGAGGGUAUUACUUGACAGAUUUGGAGGGAAACUUGCAAAAACAUCCAAUUAAUACCAAGUUUUAAAGAAAUACCAUCCAGCUUUAUGUAAUAGGAUAUAUUGUUAUACUAAGAGACCUAAGCGAGUUAGGAAGGUUUAGAGUCAGGUUACCAUUGGUAAAACUUCAAUGAAAAGCAAGAAUUCAGACAAGUGAAGAUGAAGAUGAAGUAUAUGUUUAUUUCAUGUAUAAAGGGUUACAAUUAAUCCUAGCCUAACAACUUUACAUCCUCGGACAGGGCAGCUAUUCUAGAAAAGUAAGUCUACAUAAUAGUGAAAAUUUUGCCUGGUUUUCGAAGAUACAUGUUGCUAUUGGUGAGUUGGUUUUUUGAGUCAUCCACUUCUUGAGAGAUCUUCUCCAUAUCCUCUACUUUCUUGGAAAGAUGAUUGGUUAAGCUCAUCUUCUCACCCUUAAGUGAAGAAAGUUGUUAUUCCAAUCUUUGGAUCUUAGAAUCAACAACUGCAAUCCUAUCUUCCAUCACCAAUCAUUCCUCCACCAACUGCUGGAGAGUAGCUGAGCUCUUCAUAUGUUUUUCUUGAUAGCACUUCACUCUAUUGGAAGCUCGCUUCGCCUUUUGAUGCUGGUCCUUUAAUGCCUGUAGGUUCUCAACAAAGUUUAAGAAAGACUCAUACUGAGCCUUAGACAAGGACUGUGCCUUGUAAAUUUCGGUUAGUGCCUUUUCUGCAUCAUGAAGAACCUUAAGGCUAAAGGAAGCUGAGAAGUCUUUCUUCAUCCAACUCUUAAAUGAAGCAAAUGGGGGAUAUUGCAGUUUGGUCUUGAUCUGCCCAAAUGUUUUUACCAUGUCGGGCAAUGACAAUGUCAAUGAAAUCGGGGGCAUAUCUCUCGCACCUUCAGUAAAAGCAGAAUGAGCUGCCUCAAAUGGGUAGAAAAGGUAGAGGAGCAAGAAUAGAAGUUGGAAUAGAAGCAGCAGCAAUGGUCUUGGCUUUCUUCUUAAGCCUAAGGAUAGGCGUCCCUGUGACCCCAGAAGCCAAAGAAGGACGAGGAAGUUUUGUCUUACGCACCAAAUGAGAGGGAAUUACCCGAGUCCUCUCCAGGGCCUUGUUGCAAACCAAAAAAGAUAAGUUGAUUAAAAUAAUUUACAAUUUAGACUAAAGGAAGGCAAAUAGGGAAAAGUUAAUAUACCUGAGCUAAAUCUGGAUCCUUAGAAGGAGGAGGAGUUACGUCUUUUGUCUGAUGUAAAAAAUUAUCCAUGCUUGCUCUGAAAUGAGAGAUAGUGCCUAAGCCUUCACCAAAAGCCUAUGAAAUAAAAAAAGAUAAGUAUCAACAGACUAACUUAUGCAGAAAAGAAAAACAUAAUAAGAAAAGCCUUCAUACCUUAGCAGGAUCUUGAGAAUGAGCGAGCGAGCUGGCCCGAACCACAGAUUGGGAAACCCGUGGGCUAGUCACCUCUGAGACCACGGAGAUCUCAGGGACUACGGGCCCCUCAAAUGUAGAUGUUGUUGGUCGAUGAGAGGUUGGUGCAGGAGAAGACUGAAAAGAGUCGAAAGAAAAUGAGUAUAAAAGGAGGAAAACUUCAAGUAUAGAAAUGUUAACAAAUACUCACCAAGUUAUUAUCCUCAUCUACAAAAUGCAACAUUUAUCCUGUUUUUGGAUUGAAUUAAGAAGUUGGGGUCACCACUAAUGCAGAAGCAGGAAUGGAGGACUUGAGAGUUGAGCCCUGCCCAAUUGAGGACACAGGAUCAUCAACCUUAAAUUGCGAAAGUAAAAGACAAGUGUUAAGGCUCUGAGAUUGGUAAAGAUACAAGUCUAAAGAAUGAAAAAGAAAUAUACCUUUGAGGACUUAGCAUGUGGAUGAGAAGUUUGUACCAUUCGAGCUGAAGAUGAAGAGGCCUCAGGUAGAGAGAUCAUUUCUUCCCUCAUGGCCUAUUUCAGAAAUCGGGCAGAGAAUAAAAAAGAGAUAGGAAAGAAGAAAAUGGGAGAACUCAAAGGAGUGAAAACUUAAGAUGCAAUUUAUACCUCCAGUUCUAUAAUGGUGGAUUCUUGCAGAUCCUUGGCUUUCUGAUACAUCUCGACCCCUAGUGGAUCUCCCCUUGAAACAACAGUUUCUUUUUUGGUUGCUCGAGGCCUUAAAAAGAAAAAAUGGCGUUGUCAACUCUUAUUUUCACAAAAUUAUGAAUAAGAAUGAAGGAGUAAAACAAGGUUUACUUACUGUGCCCUUGUUCUUUUCUUGGUGGGGGUUGUCCACGACUCAAGAAUGGAAGGCUGAGCCUGAGAUCGCUCUUCGGGUUCAGACAUUGAAGUUUCCAUUACAGUUGCCCAAGGCUCCAUUAUAAUUUCUACCUCACCCUCUGAGUCUCCAAGCAACUCGAAGACAUCUCUGCCCUUUCCAGCACCUUGCCUUUCUAUCUCAGUUGCGGCUUCUUGGAGGAUAAAGGUGUUGCUGCAUCUUCAUGUUACUCGACGACUAUCUCUGUAAGGAUUGGAGAAGGCAGAUUCAUAAGAAUUUCAAGUUAAAGAGUAAGAAGUACAUAUCAAAAUGAGUUGGUUUUUCUGAUGAAUCAUUUCCUUCCAGUUUUCAAGCUUAUUUGGGCUAUGAUAAGACUUGAUAGAGAGAUGCUUGAAGAGGCGAUCAUGGGCUUUGCACAAAUCGCCUUCAUACUUUUUGAUCCACUUUGUCUCCCACCAAGAAGCAAAGCUUGAAGUUCAUUCAAAAUUAAGGGCCAUAGGUUUUCUAGCAACCUUACUCAUGACCUCAAGACUGCGUCAGGCAGCUCAGACUUAUGGUGGAGAGUGAAGAAUGUAGGAGUUGCCACAUUGAACAGAGUCAAAGAAGGGGACUGGAAUGGCUUGUCUAAUGCCCAGUUGCCUACUACAGAAGUUUGGAUAAUAAACUUUUAACCCGCGCUCGUAGCGAUCACUCCUCACACCCCAAGUCAGAUCAUUCGAUUGGAUGCAGCUGAUAAAUCUCCCUCUACAAAAGGAACUAGCAUUUUCUCCAAAAGCAUUCUGGAAAGCUUGGUCAUUAAACCAAGGGUAUCUCCUUAAGACUGAAGCACCCCACUCUAGGUAUGCCUGAGUCCUACAGACUCUGAAGAAGUAUAGACAACAGAAUGUGGAAUGAUUUAUAAGAGAGGCUUAAGUUAGAAUUCGGGCAGGGGCCACUCCUUUGGGGAAUUCAAGAUUAGGAGCCUGAAGCUCAGGGAAAUAAUGUUGAAGCCACAACUGGAUCAUCCAAACAGGUCCAUUCAGGUCAGUCUCAAAUGGCUCUCCCCGAGCUAUCUCCAAAAAAAUGUGAUAGAGGUGAGAGAGGAGGAAAGGGCAUGUUGCCACAUCAUCCAAAUUGUGUAGAGCUUCCACCAGAAGGAUCCAUUCAACUUUUACUCCCUUGGACUUGUUUGGGAAGACGUGCUUAUUGAGCCAAUACAAUAGAAAGUACAUAUGCUCUUGUUCUCUGUUGACGUUGGAAGAAGAGGGGCCAAAUUCCUUUUUGGCAAACGAGAUAAAACCCUUGAAGGAAGUUCCAUAACUCUUGAAAGUUAUAGAGUUAUACUCUAAAUAAAGAAAGGGGGAAGGGUUGCUCGAGCUCUCAGCGGUUAGGCGAGAUAGAGGAGUCUAGUCGUGGGUAACGUCCAUAAUUCUGCCCGAAGACCUGCGCCAUUUCAAGGAUGGUAGGAGACAUGCCUAAAGUCAGAAGUGUUGGAGCCCAAGUUCCAGAAGAGGAAGGAUGUAGUAAGAAGCUAAGGCUUAACAUUCACGAUGGUCUUAAAGAGUAUUAUCAUCUCAUAAAUACCAUUGUUCAUCCAUUUUUGCUUGAAGGUUAGCUCAAGCUCAUUUAUCCAUUGCGUCCAUCCUUCAUCCUUCAUCAGAGGGAACCCACAACGAUGGUUUGACCAUUUGGAUAAGGAGAUGCCCAACUCGGCCAAAAAUGGGUUCGGGGUGAACCAUUUCUCCUUAGGCUUGUUGUUUUCAACAACAAUUGGGACCUAAAAAGUCCAUGGAAGUCCUAAGGAAUGCACUUCUCCAUCCUCGAAGAAAAGAGAAGUCUGUAGGCCUGGCCGAGGGCAAUGAAGGCCAUUGACCAAGCGGCGCAUGGUGGAAAUCCCCUCACCAAUUUCACUGGGAGAUUGAAUUCGAGCAACUUUGUGUGCCAUUGGAUGAUCUUGAGGAAAAGAUGGGAAGAAAAUUGGAAUUAGGGGGCAAAAAGAAAUUUCUAGAAAUUGUGAAAGUUCUGAUGAUUCUGGGAAGUUCUAGAAAUUUGAAGGCUUAAAAUGGCUAAGAUACUUUGCCGAGGAGGUUAAGUGAGAAUUAUAUAGUGAGUGGUUACUUAACGAUGGAGUUUGUGGGUUAGUGCAAGGAUUUAGUUAACAAACGGCCGCUUUAAAUGGUGCAAGUCUCGAGUAAAGGCGUGUGACGGCUGUUUAAUCAUUAUUAGCGACUUGGGUUGCUGACUUAACAAUGAUUAAAGGGGGCACUAUUUAGGUUAAUAUUUGAAAAUUGAGCUGCAAGAAUAAAGAAGCCCAAAGAUGCCAAUUAAAAAAAAGACUUGCCCGAAGCCCAGCACCAAGCCCAGAGACAAAUUGGCGCCUCCCCAUUAAUGCAUACACCAUGUGUCUAUGAUUUAAAUGUCAAGUGAUGGAGACUAACUCACAAUUAGCCAAAAAGCAUUUUUUUUUUUGUGGCAAUACAAGUAAAAAGAUGAUGAGUCACUACCCUCUAGAUGCUUUCGGGCAAAAGCAAAGUCAUAGCAGUCAGGCUAAUUCGCCUAUAAAAGGAAGAAGAGGCCCCAGAGACAAUGACACUCAACCAAUCAAACAAAAAAACAUACAAACUCUGCUCUCAAGCCAGAUUUGCAUCCAAAAGCUGAAAUUAACCCAGAUUCAGUCCUUUUAGCGACAAGCUAUCUUUCUCUCUAGUUUAAAAGCUUUGAUAUCUCUCUUAGUGGCAUAAUAUCAAUUCCCUUGUGUAAACAUGUUUACCAUCCACCCCUUUUUAGCAUACAAACCCUUGUAAUCACAAAGAGAAGUGAUCGCAAGAAGUUCAACCUUGACAGACAAGGUAAAAUCUUGCCCGAAGCUCUUUGUUUGUUUUCUGAAUUUGUAGAUCUAUUACGUAAUGCAUUCCCCAGUAUGUAUUCAAGUCAUCUCCACCUAUUGUCCUACUUUAAGAGUCCCAUUUGCAUCUGGAUCUAGUUAGUUUAAUGGAUAGGAUAUCAUUAAAAAUCAAUCAAGAACCAAGCAAACGGCUAAAUGGCUUAAAGGGGAUCCAGACUCCCUUCAUACGAACAUACAAGAUUAUGAACUAAAAGUCCUUUGUCACAAGGCAAGAAAAAGAACUUAAUGUGGACUUAACAGAUAGAUUUGUCUUUUCAUGUAUUUCUCUGUUUGGUUAGCAAUACUGUGGAUGCUUAUGGGGGUCGGGAUAUGCUUGCUUGUCCUUUGUGUGAAUAAUGCUGUAUUUCUGUUUGAUGACUAGGAGGUCAGUAAGAAAGAGAAUUGCCUUUGGGUUUUAUUUAUUUGCCUGUUGAUAACUUGGGAUGCACUCCUUUUAUUGGUUUUAGUAACUUGGGAUUUCUCUGCAGUAAAAUUUUAUAUGGAUUCGAGCUCAUUAACAAAACCUGUGGAACAUUGCUUUGUAGUAGAAAAUUUUACAAAUUGCCUUUUGUGUAUUUGACUAUAUUAGUAUAUUUACACAUAAUACUUGUGUGCUUAUGUAAUUCUAUAUGGUUUGUAUCCCUUCCUAUGGUACGUGUAUUUUGUAAACGCCAAGGAAACUUUCGUACUCUUGUAGCCAUUGGCUCCACAGUUUUAUUUAGUUGCUGGAUAUACAUUUUUGAGUGAGAGACGCACAUGUUUUAGCUACUUAUAUGUGCUUGUAGCUAUUUACAGCUUUGUCAAUUUGUAGACAUUUUUGAGUGAGAGACGCAGAUAUUUAGUUGUUGAACAACAGUUUGUAUUUUAUACUAAUUUACCUUUAAUGUAUCUGAGUUAUGACCUCUAAAUUCCUUUAUCAAGCAGUCGUGCAUUCUGGGUGGAUCUCUCAAGAAGGGGCGAUGGAUGGUUUCUUUCUGAUUUUUUAUGUUUCUUUUGCAAGAUCUCAAGUUCUAUUCAUGUUACAAGAGCAUACUUAUUACGUUUGUUUUUUCCUUUUGUCAGGAGUUCAGAGGUUAUGUAUUUAAAAUUAUGGGAGGAUGUGAUAAGCAUGGCUUUCCUUUGAAGCAAGGAGUGUUAACCACAGGCCGUGUUCGCCCUUUGCUCCAUAGAGGUAUGUUAUUUUAUACCAAUUUGUCUGUGAUAGUGAGAGGGAGAUGAUUAGCGAGAUGGGGGCAGUUGAUUGAGAAUUCCGGUUGUUUCCUCUAUAUUGCUAAUUUGUAGACCUCUUGGUUUCAACUUUUGGGCAAUGUAACUGACUGAUGUAUUUUGUUUGCUUAGGAACCCCAUGCUUCCGUGGGCAUGGAAGGAGGAAUGGGGAACGAAUAAGGAAAUCUGUUCGUGGAUGCAUCGUCAGUCCAGACCUCUCUGUUCUGAACUUGUUAUUUGUUGGAACACCCAUUGUCCCACAUCAGCCAAGAGGGAAGAGAGAAAACAUUUUAAAUAGAAUUAUCUCACUCUAACUAACAUUGAGGUCUUUUGUAAUAAAACUCCAUACCUGAGGAUUGUGCAGGUGGUUAAGUGGUGACAUUAUCGAUGUUGUUGAAGUGGACCCUCAGCCCGUCAACUUAAAAAAUUCUACAUGAUAUCAGAGCCAGUGGACAGGCCUGUAUUGUUGGAACACCUAUUGUCCCACAUCGGCCAAGAGGGAAGAGAGAAAGCUCAGAGGCAGCAGAGUACCAAAAGCUCCUUGCUUCAAGCUUGAAGGAGCAGCGAGAGCGCCGUAGUGAGAGCUUAGCCAAGAGGAGAUCAAGACUCUCUGGUGCUUCCAAGCCAUCUGUUACUGUUUAGAUCGCUGGAGCAUGUGAGGUUUUCAUCAAUGAGUCAAAGCGGAGGGGCAUCAUAGAUGGUUUAAGGUAUUUUAGGUUGUUUACGAUGGAUGUCGAACAUGUUGAAGUGGUUGGCAUUUCCAAUUUUGUUGCGGUAUUCAUGUUUGAUUGUCGGUGGUUGACAUCUCUCUCGGUGUUUCUCAGUUGUCCUCUAUUGUGCAAUCUCUCUUAGCAUAUGCUCCAUAUUAAUUUUUUUAGCUGAUCGAAGUGGGGAACCCGUAGCUGCAUUACCAUGUAGAGUAUCGGUCUCUUUGGCCGCCGUUGAUUUUUGAAAAAUGAGAAGUAGCGGAGAAGAAAAUUUCUGUUUAGGAAAGGGUUGGCCCUUAAUUGUGUUAUGGUAUUGUGUUAUUUUGCGUCUGUGAUGUGGGAGUCUUGAUAUGGUAUGGUGAUAUCUUGGCACAUGGAAUUCACCAAAAUAAAAGGUCUAGCAAGGAAUAUGUGAAAAAUGUUGCUUUCUGCACAAUGAAGAAAAAAUAGGGUUGUCUUCAAUAUGAAUUUUAGUUUGGGACUAGUCCGUGAAAUAUAAGGUGAAGAUUGAAGAAAAGUUUCUUAGCUUCGCUGCUCAUUUCUCCGAUCUUUUUAGUAGUCCAGGACUACUGAAGCCAUUCGUUCUUAUUUGGCAACAUAUCAUUUUUUUUAACAAACGAUAUUAUCUACAUUAAAUGGGAGGGAGGUGGACUUCGCUUUACAAUGGGCUAUCAAUAAUGUGAUUCAAAUUUUCCUUUGACGAGAAUCGAACUUAAGACCUUUUAACUGUCAUAGUUUGAAUCAUUCUUUAUCAUGACGCUAAGGUCAUUUUUAUAAAUGUUUACUAUCGUCAACUUGUUUGACAAAGUGGUUUCAAAAUCAAAUGAAACUAUCUCAAAAUUAAAUGAAAUUUUCUAGAGAUGAUGUUUAGACAUAAUACAGAGGAAGAGUUGACCAAACCGUUUUAAAAUCAAAUGAAACGGUCUCAAAUUAAAUGAUACUUUUUAAGAGACCGAGUGUAUUCAGUUGAGAUUUUAAUGGAUUUAUAAAUCCAUGGAGUUUAAUUCAUUUUUUAGAGAUUGUAUGAAUUUUUUUAUUCAAUUCCCUCGAAAUUUUAUGAAUUUUUUUAUUCAAUUCUCUCGAAAUUUUAGAGGGAGAGGUGAGAUUUAUUAAUGCUUAAAAUACACUACAAAAUCUCUUUGUUCUCUCAAAUUCCUCAACUUUAAAAAAAAAUCUAAUUGAAUACACAUGGAAUGCUAUAAACUUUUUUAAAAUCAUAAUUGAAUACACCCGAAUUUCUGAAAGAUUUUAAUAAACUAUCUUAAAAUUCUGAUUAAAUACACGUUGAAUUUCAGACAAUCACUUAAAAUCGUGAUUGAAUACUCCUAAAUUUAUUAAAAUAAUUAAAAUUCCUUAAAUUCUCAAUUAAAUACAUCCCCAAAAUAUAAAUUAUGACGUUUGUAUAGUGAUUUGAUAUCACAUUGUCUCAUAAAGAGGAAUGACUCUUUUCAAAGCGUCUUGGCUGAUUUGGCUCAUGCUAAAUUUGUUCAAAUCCGUCAGGGUGGUAAUGGUGUGGCUCAUAGACUAGCCAAGAUGGAUUUUGUUAUCAAUUUAAAUUGUACUUGGUUUGACCAGCCUCCGCAAUUUAUCCAGGAUAUUCUUGUUGAUGAUAUUUCUUCUUAAUUAUCAAUAAAAUGCUAUUGUUUUGCUUAAAAAAAAAAAAAAAAAAAAAGAAGUCAAACAAUGUGCUUAUGAGAAAACAAUGUCCUUAUGGGAAAGACAAAGUAUCAAAAUUUAAUUCAUUGAAGGCAUUUAAAGAAACAAUUGUCUCAUUUGUUCAUGUCUUUAUACAAACGUUACGAUUCCUUCAAUUCUCUUGCAUGUGUUGGCAAUCGCAGGACGAUGACUAUUAACCACCCGGCAAUUUGUUCUCACCUCCCCAGCCUGCUCAACCUGCAAAUCUCCCAUCUUUAUCAUCCCCUCAACAAAGGCCUUGAAAAACUCUUCUUGGUCACUGCUAAACUGCUCUACAAAUCCCCUCGUUUCCGGAAAUGUGAAAAGCGUUUGAUCCGAAUUGAGAAACCCUCUCCCGGAAACCAAGUCCUUGAAGUACUGGUUGUCAAACACUACAGGCGUAGCAUCUAGGUCUCCAGUGACGUUUUGGUCCACGUUUAAAGGGCAAAGCUUGUUUAGCUUUUCUGUAAACUUUGGUUCAAUGGAGGGGUCUGGCCGGCCAGUGCCGGAUUGGUUGUACAGCCGAAACAUGAUUGAGAAACACCGAGCUUGGCCAAUGGAAUGAGACCCAGAAAGGGCAACAAGAUCUUCAGCCGAAAGAUUAAAUUUGGCAAAGAGGUCAAUGAGGAAGGUUGCAUUGGCUCUUGGACUUGGCAUAACGUUGUCUGACGCUUCCUGGCUAGCUGAUAAGCUAUCCAAUCUUCCUAACUUCACUUCCCAAUCAGGCCCUCCAGUCUGUUUAACACAAAUUAUGUCAUUACAUCUUUAUAGAUUGUCGAUUAUACAAGUGGGAUUCUAUUGAGACAUCUUCUAACAUUGUGAAGAGAAAUUUAUUAAAUCGAGCAAUUAGUAGUAUUUUGAUCUGUGUAAAUAGAAGAGAGUGCAAUACCAGGGCAACAACAUCUCUAGAGGCCAUGAUUAUGAUGUCUGCACAAGAAACAACUCCCGGACAGACCUUCUCUAGGGCUUCUUUUGCUUCAUCAACAACCUCGUAAGAUCUCAAUGAAUUUAUGUUUGCAAGGGCUAGUUUUUCUCCAAGGAUGGUUGGUGUGUCGUCAAGUAACAUAGAUGCAUCACAACCCUACAGUAUAUGUAUGUUAAAUCGAUCAAAAGGGAAUAUAGUAUUUGUGUAUGUAGUUUUUACUUACAUUGACAAAGCAAUCAUGGAAUUGGAAGCGCAUGACAGAGGCAAGGCUCCGGGGUUCUCUGAUCAAAGCCACCUUCAUGACAUCUCGGACCACAGAUUCGGCCUGCGGACAUGUUUCAGAGUAAUAAUGAGGUCGGAGUUGCACGGCGGCCCCGAUUAUUAUGUACUGUAGGAGGAAGAGAGAAAAGAGGGAAGUCAUUGAAGUUUUCAGACAAUACUCUCUAGUAGGCAGAUUUGUGUAUGAGUUGGUUCAAAUUAGAGUUGCACAUGGGGCUUUAUAAACUUGUUGGAUGCCUCAUUUGCAUGUAUGGAUAAAGGGAAAUAAUUAAAUGCCCACUGUUUUUCUCUUUCUGGACACCUUACUUUAUUUUAGUCAUUUGAUUGAACAAAUCGAAAGAAAUUAAAAGCCAUAAUUAAAUAGGUGUGGUGAAAAAGAAGGGUAUAAAACAUGUCUAGAUAAAGUGUAUGUGAAACGUUAUUUCCUAGUGUCGGUGUUCUUUUUUUUCUUUUUCUUUUUUCAAAAGGAGGACAACUGGUGGCAAGUCACAAUUAUCCACCUCUACCGAGUUCGGAUGGGCUAUGGGGAAUUUCACCCUACUCGUGGCCACAAUCAAGCAGAUUCACCAGAAACAGAGAUUACGCUAUCUCCAACUAUAUAUAUAUAUAUUUAUAAUUAGAAGUUAGUAUAACAUUAUAUUUGACUCCAAAUAUGGUGCUACAAUUUAGCUUAAAUUUCACAACUCAGAGUUUAAAUUUAUUUAAAGUAGAACCUAAUAGUCAUGCAAAUGCUAGUCCAACCAAAGAGACUACUGUUUGAAAUUCGAAUUGCAAAUUUAUUGUUUAUGGUGAUUGAUGAGAAUAAGACCUAGUGGCUCGAGAAUAGCCUUUUAAACCGACCAAGAAAAUACUUUUUUUUUUUUUUUUUCAGGAUACCAUUUAGGGGAAUUAUACCUUCUUAGGCAGGUUUGAACGUUUGAAAUUACAACUCAAAUAUUUCCCACCAUUAUUUUGUUCACGAUGAUAUGAAUGGUUGGGAAUAUAUCAUGACACAACUUUCUGAUUAUAUUAUUUGGAGGUAUAUAUAACAAUCAUUUGUGUAGAGAGAGUAACCUAAUAUAACUAAUUAGGAAUCUUACUAAUUAUAGAAUACUAUAAAAGAAAGUAAAUCAAUACAAAUCAAUCGUGCAACUAUCAUAACAUUCUCUCACAACUUGGUGAAUAGAUAUCAGUCAUGGUCAACUUGACAAGUGAGCUGUGAAAUGCUUGGCUCAAUACUACUUUUAGUGAGUAAAUCUCCUAGUUGAUAUUCGGACUUCAUAUGUGGGACUUCGAUAACUUUUAAUGUUGAGCUAGAUUACGAGCAAAAUUGCAUGCCACUUCAUUGUCACAAUACAACGUCAUUAAAUCCCUGUUUGAAAACCAAAUCUCUCAUUAAGCUUCUAAUACAGCCAACUUUUAUCAUUUUGCUUUGCCAAAUAACAAGAUUCUUCCUACCAAAAUGAAAUGAAACACCUUUAGUCAAUUGAUCCAGCUCAAUAUGCAUAUGUAUUAGGGAAAACUAAUGAAAAGUACCUCAAAUCUUUACAUUUUAAUAAAAAAACUACACACUAAUUUUAUUUAACCAUAAGGACAAAAGACAAAAAGGGGGAAAGAAAUAAACCUAACAAACCAAACUUGCGCUGGGGUGUGUACCCUCUACCUUACCACGUGUAAGUGAUCUGUUUGCAGAACAUCCAAUUUUUUGAAAACUUGGAUUUCAACUUCGAAUUUUUGUCUAAUUCUACACUUUUUGUUGCCAAAAGCAUGUUGAUUUCACUUGGGGUUUUCUGAAAUUAGUUGAUUGUCGUAGUGGCUGGAAAGUGUUUGAUGAUAUGCCUCUGUGAGAAUUUGAUUAGGUGUUUGGGAAGGGCAACUUAUUUUUCUCUAUUGGAUCGGACCACCGCCUAGAGGAGUCACUACUAUGGCGUGCAAGCGUAAGCUCCAGGCAUCUACAAGUUGUGAAUCUGAAGGAACUUGCUCUAAAAGUGGAAUGGACAGAUUUAGUGAUCUUCCGGAGGUAGUUGUUAAUCGUAUUCUUUCCUUCCUCAAUUUCAAAAACCUCACUCGAGUGGGUGCUGUAUCCAAAAUAUGCAGACAAUUUCGUCUCUCAGUUCUGGUGGUGAAUUUUGGUACAGAUGAGUGGACAGGCAUAAAAAAGUGGAUCUAGGGAGGAUGAUGACUUCUUUUGAUCAAUUCGAUCCAUGAAGAAAGUUUAUUGGGAACUUUCAAGAAGAGGAGAAAAGAAUAUAGUACCAUUAAGUUUCAUAAACAGGGUAGUAAGUUUCAUAAAUAGUGUCUAAGUUUCAUAAACAGUGUAGAAGUUUCAUAAACAGUGUGAGGACGCGUGGGUCCAUGUGUUAGAUUAUUUUUUUAAUAUUAAAAUUAUGUCUUUUUUUAUUAAAAUUUAAGUUAUUUUGUCAUUUUUAUUAAAAUUUAAGGGGUUUUCAUUAAAAUUUAAGUCUUUUUAAUUAAAUAAAGUUAUAGCAUGGUUUUUUUAUUAAAAUAAACUUAGUCCAAACCCUUUUCAUAAAAGUUCGCUAUGUAUUAACCUUUACCAUUCAAGCUAUCAUUUCUUGGUAACUUUAUUUCAUUUUCAAGAGAAGACUUCAAGUACCUUAAUAUACAAACAACGACAUCAUAAGUACAGCUAUGAUUCACUUCCAUGUGACUUAGCUUAAGUCCAAGUGUUACAGUUUAAUUGUACAAUAUAUUGACUAAAGUUCUUGGAUUGGAUCGGAACCGACAAUAUUUUCUGGUCUAAAAUACUGUAAUUCAAGUGUGUGUUUGGGCCUUAAAUUCUAGGUUUGGGCUGAGAAUGAAUAAACUUGGUAAGAAGAUGCAAGACUCGGCCCAUUACUGAACUGUUCAUCCCAGGUGAUGGAGUACUCGUCCCAAAAGUCAAACGCUAGUGGUUUGACCAAAUCCUAGGAGAAGUAGGAUUGUUGGAAGAUCAGGAUUAGAUUACGUUUCAGUUGAGUCCUUAAUGAAGUAGGACUUUUGAAGCAUCAAGAUGAUUUUGAUAAGAUUCUAAUUGAAUUAUUCUAAGGGUCAAAAUUGUUGGCUGAUUGGAUAAGGUAUGAAUUAAACACGUAAGGGUACUAAGUUAGAGUCCUAGUUCAAGUCGAAGGGCGAGACUUGAUAGGGGUAGAGUUUCACCAGAAGAGGGACUUAUCAAGAUAAUGCUAAAUGCAUCUAGAUAUUUACUAUGCAUCAUAGUCCAGGUAGAAUUCUACUGCUUGGUAGGCUUGGCCAUCAAGGAAUUCAUCUGUAUAUAUACAAGAGGAUUUUCAAUGUUGAAAUGACCUUGAACUCAUUAAACACACAAUGCUCUUCACAAAACCUCUCACACUUUGAGAAAAAUAUUAAUUGCUCUACUAUUUGUCAGUACAAAUACAGUUUGGUUAAACAAAUUUGGGUUGAUAUAUAUGCGGACGACUGACGGUUACAUUUUGAUUAAACAAAGUUUUCCAUAGGUAACCAGCGUAGGUGAUAGUUUGGUUAAAGAACACUAGAGUUAUGGAAUUAGUUCAGUUUAUGAGUCUUAACAGAUUGGUUAAACAUCAAGUUUUCUUUUUUCUACUAAUUAUCUAUCUUAAGUCUCAGCUGUUGCAGAGUCUUGGAUUCUUUCCUUGAACGAGGUAACUUCAUUAGCUUUCUCGGCAAAAUGAAGUGUUCUAUGACUGUAUAUUCUCAAGUGACAUUCAGGCAGCCAAACCACUUUCACCAUAUAGUUUGCUCCUACAGUUUGAUACAAAUUUUGUGCAUGUAUAUUUUAAAAAAUAUAGUUGAAGUUGCUAACCUUGUGCAGAGGAUCCAUAACUUAACAGCGAUCUGCAUAAUCUUGUCUUCAGGUUUUAUGACUUAGGUCGUGUGUGUUCCUUCCAUGACCAAGGCCUGUUGAUUCAGAUGUCAGAAGCGUAUUUUAUCAUACCACUACACCUAGAGGUAUUAGUCCGUGGAGCUCAGAGCGAAAUUGGCAUGGCCGCAUCAAUAUUCAAGGACACGGAAGAACGUAGUAAACUUUUUGCACUCGACCUAUGCACCACAUAAAUUGUGUAGCUUUUAGGGUCAACAGUACUAUGAAAUUUAAUUAGAUUUGUGCAAAUUUAAUCUUCAAAUGAUACCAAUGAUGAUAGGAAUGGACAUCAUUAUUAAGACUAUUUAGGUUUGAAUUAUUCACAUCUUGUAGUUGUUUCGGACAAAAUACAAGAAAGAAGAGCCUCAUGUAGAGGUCGGUUCGAAAAACCAAAAAUAAAAAAAUCGAAUUGAACCGAAGUUAUUUGGUUUAAUUUCAAUUUCCAUGGUUUGAAAACUGAACGAAACCGAAGUUACACUAAACGGUUUUGGGAGACUUUUCGCACUAAGUGGGGUCGGCUAUAUGAAUCCUAGAACGCCAUUCCGCUCGGUUCUGUGUCAUGUCCUCCGUUAGAUCCAAGUACUCUAAGUCUUUUCUUAGAGUCUCUUCCAAAGUUUUCAUAGGUUUUCCUCUACCCCUUUGUCUUUGGACCUCUGUCCCGUAGUUACAUCUUCUAACCGAAGCGCCAGUAGGCCUUCUUUGCACAUGUCCAAACCACCGUAACUGAUUUUCUCCCAUUUUUCCUUCAAUUUCGGCUACUCCUACUUUACCUCGGAUAUCCUCCCUAAUCUUAUAAUUUCUUGUGUGCCCACACAUCCAAUGAAGCAUCCUCAUCUCCGCCACACCCAUUUUAUGUACGUGUUGAUGCUUCACCGCCCAACAUUCCAUGCCAUACAGUAUUGCCGACCUUAUUGCCAUCCUAUAAAAUUUUUUCUUGAGCUUCAGUGGCAUACGGCGGUUACACAACACGCCGGAUGUACUCUUCCACUUCAUCCAUCUAGCUUGUAUUCUAUGGUUUAGGUCUCCAUCUAGUUCUCCGUUCUUUUGCAAAAUAGAUCCUAGGUAGCGAAAGCGGUCGCUCUUUGGUACUUCUUGAUCUCUGAUCCUCACCCUAACUCAUUUUGGCCUCCAUUUGCACUGAACUUGCACUCUAUAUAUUUUGUCUUUCAUCGGCUUAGGCAAGGAUCUUUAGAUUCCAACACUUCUCUCCAAAAGGUUAAGCUUCGCAUUUACCCCUUCCUGAGUUUCAUCUAUCAACACUAUAUCGUCUGCAAAAAGCAUACACCAAUGAAUAUCAUCUUGAAUAUGUCCUGUUAACUCAUCCAUUACCAAUGCAAAAAGGUAAGGACUUAAGGAUGAGCCUUGAUAUAACCCAACAGUUAUGGGGAAGCUAUCGGUUUGUCCUUCAUGAGUUCUUACAGCAGUCUUUGCUCCAUCAUACAUAUCCUUUAUAGCUUAGAUAUAUACUACUCGUAUUCCUUUCUUCUCUAAAAUCCUCCAAAGAAUGUCUCUUGGGCCCUAUCAUAUGCUUUUUCCAAAUCUAUAAAGAUCAUGUGUAAAUCCUUUUUCCUAUCUCUAUAUCUUUCCAUCAAUCUUCAUAAGAGAUAGAUUGCCUCCAUGGUUGAGCGUCCUGGCAUGAACCCGAAUUGGUUGUCCGAAACCCGUGUCUCUUGUCUCAAUCUAUGCUCAAUAACUCUCUCCCAGAGCUUCAUUGCAUGACUCAAUUGCUUAAUACCCCUAUAGUUCAUGCCCCUUAUUGAAACCCUAAUUUAGAAAUUAAAGUUUUGGAGUAUAUUUUUAAUGAGCGUGAGAGUUGGAUUUUGAGAGACUUGACAGAAAUGGCGGUUAGUGUUUAUAUGGCGUUGAGUCUUGAUAGAGCGACAGGAAGGUCGUGGAAAUUAUGUUGGAUGAGUUCUUGUUCCUGGAUUUUUUGACUUGUCAGCUGUAUCCUUGUCCUAUUUAUAUCAUCAUUAUAAUUUUUGGAGCUUUGUGGCUUUCUUUUUCUUGUGGUAAUUGUUUUUAACCUUUUUGUUAAUGCAUCCAGCAAUAUUCCAUUUGAUUUCUGUUGGUGAGAAAGCGGUCUGUGAGUUAUGUUUUAUAGGCGAAUGUCGAUUAGUUUUGAUAAAUUCUUCAUCGUGUGAUAUACGAAAAAGGAUUGCCUUGUGUAUAUAUAUAGAUAUAUAUUAUAUGGAACACAUGUGAGACUUUAGCUGGAAUUGUUAUUUUUUUUAUAAAGUCUCGAUGGAGCAUAAAGUUUUCUACAACAUUGAUGCAUUAUAUAUCAUAUAUAUGAUAUUGAUAUUUAUUUUCUCACUGUCCAAUCUCCUCAAGAACCCUAGCUAGAAUUCAUUGGGAAAAUUAGAAGAAUGACUAUUAACCACCCUGCAAUUCUUUCUUACUUCCCCAGGCUGAUCCACCUUCAAGUCACCCAUCUUUAUCAUCCCAUCCACAAAUGCCUUGAAAAAUUUUCCUUCAUCAAUGUUGAACUGCUUCACAAAUCCCCUCGUUUCCGGAAAGGUGAAAAGCGUUUGAUCUGAGUUGAGAAAACCUCUCCCGGCAACCAAGUCCUUGAAGUACUGGUUAUCAAAGCCUACAGGCGUAGCAUCUAGGUCACCUGUAACGUUUUGGUCCACGUCUAGUGGGCAAAGCUUGUCUAGCUUUUGUCUAAACUUUGGUUCAAUGGCAGGGUCUGGCCGGCCACUGCCAGAUUGGUUGUACAGCCGAAACAUGAUGGAAAAGCACCGAGCUUUGCCGAUGGAGUGUGAACCCGAAAGCGCAACGAGGUCUUUAACAGAGAGAUUAAAUUUGGCAAACAGGUCAAUGAGGAAUGUCGCAUUGGAUCUUGGACUUGGCAUAAUGUUGUCUGAGGCUUCUUGGCUUGCUGUUAAGCUAUCCAACCUUCCUAACUUCACUUCCCAACAAGGCCCCCCUGUCUAAUAAUUACAUAAUCAUGUUACAUAAAAUCAGAAUUAUACUUCUUUCAAUCAUAGUUAAGAUUCUCAUCGUUCGCUUGGUACAUGACAUUGGAGGUCAAUAUGGAUUAGACGAUACUAACUGUAGUCAAGUCCAACACAGUGUGUGAAAAUCUUAGGCAUGUUUGACAAUCAUUUUACUUCAGUUAUCAGUUUUUUAGUAACUGAAAACUAGAAGUCAAAUUUUGAAAACUCAAACAAAGUAGCGUUAAAUUUUCAAUUGUUGAUAAAGCUAAUCAAAUGGACCUUAAAACUUAUGUUGGACUCAAAAUAUGUUCAUGUAUAUAGGAGAUAAUAAGAAAGUUUAUUACCAGAGCAACAGCAUCUCUAGAUGCCAUGAUUAUAAUGUCUGCGCAAGAAACAACUCCCGGGCACACCUUCUCCAAGGCUUCUUUCGCUUCGUCAACAACUUCGUAAGAUCUCAGUGAAUUAAUGUUUGCAAGGGCUAGUUUUUCUCCUAGCAUGGUUGGUGUGUCGUCAAGCAACAAUGAAGCAUCACAACCCUAAUAUAGAGAUAUAAUACCAAGUUAAUUAAUUCAUCAUUAACAACGAACUAUUAGGACUAAUCAAUUAGGAAGUAAAUAAUGUUGUGAUUUAUGGUCCACUUACAUUGACAAAACAAUCAUGGAACUGUAAGCGCAUGACCGAGGCAAGGCUCCGUGGCUCUCGAAUCAGAGCUGCCUUCAUGACAUCUUGGACAAUGGAUUCGGCUUUCGGGCAGGUUCCCGAGUAAUAACCAGGGCGGAGUUGCGCUGUGGCCCCGGUUAUUAUGAGUAGGAUGAAGAGUGAAAAGAGAAGAGCCAUUGAGAAUUCUCGAGUCACUAGUGACUGGAGGCAGGUGGGUAAUUGGUUCAGUUGUGUGGGGGGUGGGGUGCUUUUUAAACUCGUGGGCUGCAUCAUAUGCAUGUACAGAGAUUUAGUAGAAAGAAACAAUGGAUGUGAAAUGAUUCAUUCCGUUUCUACCCCAAAAAAAAAAAAAAAUAGAAAAAAAAAUAGCUCUUCUCCUGAAUUUAUGGAAACUGCAGGAUUUAAAUAUAUACAGUAAAUUGGAGGUUGACUGGAACGGUCAUUGAUUGGACUAAUCUAGAAAGGUGGUGAGGAUUAGUCAAAAUAAUGAAGUUACACUAAUUAGCUUACCAAAACCCAAUAGAGGCGGGAUAUGGUGGAAUCCUUCUCAGCUUAUUGCAUAUUGAAACAAGUUUUGAUAGCCUUUUUUCCACUUCAUGAACUACAAGUCAUUUCAGUCACUUAAUAUUAUAUUUUAGUAAUAUUUUUCUUCACUUAUAAGUGUAAUAACGGAUUGAAUAUCUUGAAUAACGAAUUUUAUCUCAAUUUAUUUUCUUAGUCUUAUCAUUGUGUUUAAACGAAUCACAUAUAAAACUAGUUAGCUUACAGUCGAAAAUUUAUCUAAUCAUAUUUGAUUCAACAAUUUAACUGGGACGUACAAGAUAUUAAUGUAAUAAUGUAGCGUCUACAUCACAUGUGGUUUGUAUGAUAAAGAAAAUAAGAGAAUUUAUACUAACUUAAAAAGUUGAAGUUUUGGUCAAAUGCGGGACUCAUAAAUAGUCACUUUAGUGGUCCUUAAUCCUUAUCCAAUCCAAAACAGUAAAUCUUAAAAAUAUUCCAGAUCGUCAAUAGUGGGGCACGUUGACAAUUGUGGAUAUGUAUCCCAGUUCACAGUUGACACACUUUCGGCUUACUAUUCCUGAAGUCGGCAUUAUUUAUGGUAUUCAUCUCCCAACAGCAUCUGAGCUAAAAGUAGAAGAUUAACAAUCACUAAUUCCUUUUUUACUAUCAAUUCUUAUCUUACUAUGAAUGGAUUGAUUCUUUAAUAAUAAUAAAGAAUUAAUUAUACUAUUAUCUGUAAUUAUAUAAGUUUGUGCUCAAGUUAGAUAUAUAUUGUCGGCUCAUUGCGUAAAAGCUUGAAGGUUGUCUAACACGGUAUUAUAGUCUCGCAUGCACCAAUGUGUUUCGUUUCUCUCUAUCUAUAUGUUCGGCUCUCCACGUGCAGGUGAGACUGCUUGUGAGGAUUGUUGUGACUGGCGGUUCAUUGACGAAAAUUACGUGAAUUUUACUAGGUAAAAUGAUUCGUGCCAAUUAUGGGCUGAGGAUUUUUAUUGGUGAUAUAUGUAAAAGACAUAGGAAGGGUGGGAGAUGCAGUAGUUCUCCAGCUCUUAUAUGUAUAAAGUUGUGAUAAAAGAUAGGGUUAUUUAGAUAUAAACUCAUGCAAUACUUAUUUUCUUAACAAUAACUCAUUUCAUUUUAAACAUCCAAAUAAAAUUCAAAUUUGAAGUAGACUGCCAUGUAAACAAAUAAAUACCUAUUAUUUUCAAACUAUUUACAAUUGUGCCACAACACUCUAAUUAUGUUAAUUUAAUUAUUCACCAUAAUUGUGAGAAAUAAGUGCCUUAUUAUUAUAAAAUUAUCUACUUUAUACUUCUCUUACCAUCAUAUGUUUCAUUUCUUUUAUUUUGCAUGUAUGUGUUAUAGACACAUUUUGUUAAAAAUUAUAUAUAUGCAUACAAAUAAUUUAUCUAUAUUUUUAUGUAAAAUAAUAUGUAAUUAAUUAAUUUGAAUCAAUUGGCUAAAAACAUUUAUGUAUUUUGUAGGUAAAUUUUUUUUUUCAUGUGAUAUUACAUAUAUGCUAGCCACAUUUUGUUAUUAUUAUUUAGAGUGUGCAAUCAAUCGACAUUUUUUUAUUUUGUAGGUAAAUUAUUUUGCAUGUAGGUAAAUUGUUUUAUAUAUAUAUAUAUAUAUAUAUAUAUAUAUAUAUAUAUUUCAAAAUAUUGGUAUUUAAUUAAUUUUGAAUAAAAAAUAUUUAUUUAUUUUGUAGGUAAAUUAUUUGCAUGUAUCAUUACAUAAUUUACUAGGAACUAAUAUUGUUAUAUAUGUUGUGCAAAAUAAUUUACCUAUGUUACAUUUAAAAUAUUGAUAAUUUUGAAUAAAAUAACUUUUUUAUAUUGUAGGAUAUACUAAUUUACCUGUUAGCAUCAUGUGAAAACAACUAUAUAAGGAACAUUGGUAUCAUGUAAAUUUUUGCUAUUAAAUGCAUAGGAAUCAUGACAUUAAAUUUUUUUUUCCAAUUCCCCAUAAGGUAUUUGAACAUUUAAUUGAAUGAAAUAAUGUAAAAUAAAUGUAGAUAAUAAUUGAGAGACCCAAAGUAAAGUGUUAUUAGGGGUAAUUUAGACAUCCAAAAAUACAAAUUUUGCCAAGUCAAACUUAAUUAUGGAUAUUGCUUAGUUGGAGCCUAGUCAUUGGGUUUUUGUUAGAGAAAUUUAUCAUGAUGGGUUUUAAUUAAAGAAAAUUGAAUUUCAAGGGGUGUACUCAUAUUUUCAGUAAAAGAUAUAGGAAGGGUGAGAGAUGUAGUAGUUCUCUAGCUCUUAUAUGUAUAAAGUUGGUGCAGACCCUUUAUGCAAAGGGAUCUCCAUUUUUUUCAAAAAAUAGGGAUUAGGUGUGAGGUUCACUCCACAUUGAACUUCAACGAUCCGAACUGUCUAUUUUGUAAGUCUCGAUUCAUAGAUCAUCUUUGCAAAAAUUCAAUUUAAUCCGAAACUAUUGGCCUAUUUAAUUAUCAAGAUAAAAUUUCAUUAUUUUUUAUAUAACAAUGUAUUCGUUAAUUUCUUUAAACCCAAUUAGAUGUCUUAAACAUUUCUGAUUUGACUAAUUUUUUGUAAGGAUGAUCUAUGAGGUGUAACUUGAAAAAUAAAUCGUUAAAGUUUGAUGUAGUGUGGACCCACAACUAAUCCCCAUUUUAAAAAAAAAAAAUGAUGGUCCCCUUCCAUAAAAGACUUCCUAAAGUUGUGAUAAGUCAUCAGUUCAUUUAUUUAUAUAUUUGUUCAUGAGCAAAUGUAUUGCUUCGUGACUCUAUGCUCCAUUUUCCCUUGGUGUAUGCUGCGUCAAGUUGAAAAACACUUCAAAUGUAUUAAUUCUGGCCGAUGCGUGCCUGUAGGAAGGUUGACCACUGCAUAAGCUAAAAGACUACGACCAUAGGGCAAGCUAGAAGUGACAAACUACACACAGGAUUAGAAAAGAAAACAGAAAUUCGACAACCAAACAAAUCAAACUGUCGAAAGAUGUUUUACAAACUUUUUAAGCAAAAGAUCAUUUCGUCGUAAAUGGCAACGCAGCUUAAUGUAUUAAGAAACUUGAUGAGUUGUAUCAGCACCCCUUGUUCAGGCAGGAAUGCCGCCGGUGGGCGUUCCUGGCUUGAGCACACAGCUCCCUGCGGACUUGGCACUUUGGUUGACUGUCGGGUUUUCACUUUGUUCGUCGGGCUGCACGAAGAGGACAGAGUUAAUUCUGAAAAGUGCCUUUGUCGGGUCUCAAGUAUAAGUCUUGACGCUCGCAAUCAAAACUAACUUAAGUGCUGAGGCGUGCCACUGCCAUCUUAGCAUGGCAGAUGUAAAAUGAGUAGAUUUAAGCCGAUUACUUGCACCCCAAGUUACUCUGACUUCUCAUUAUCAAAGGAUUGUCAUGGAUAGGUUAAGUCCACAUUAGAUUCUUUUCUAUUCCUUGAGAUCAAGGACUUUUGUUUUAUCUUGUAUGGUAAAAGGGCAGAGGUUCGGAUCUAAUCAAGGCUUUAAGUGGAUUCACUCUUAAGAUAGUAAAACCAUUUAACUAAAACCAGAUCUAAGAGUAAGCUGAACUUUGGAUCAUUAAAAGACCUAAAAUGAUUUGAAUACAUACUAGGGAAUUCAUUACAACACCAGAUCUAUUAACUAAAAGACAAAACAAAGGGAAUCGGGUAAGAUUGAACCUUGUCGGGCAAGGCUGGACCUUUAUUCGUUUCUUUUCUUUGCAACUACAGGGAUCUGAGGGUUUUAAAAGAAGAUGGUUGACAAAUAAAUUUACACAAGAGAAUCGAUACUAAUGGUGAGCAACAGAGCUAUUAAACUUGACAAAAGAUGGCUUUUGUGAGGGCUGAUCCGGAAAAGGAUUGAGGUUGGGGGCUGACCACAGCUUCGUAUGCAAAUUUGGCUUGAGUAAAGUUUGUUUAUUUGUUUGUUUGAUUGGUUGAGUGUCCUUGUCUCUGGGCCUUCCUCCUCUUUUUAUAGGCGAAUUAGCAUAACUGUUUGCAACUUGGUUCCUCCCCGAAAGCAACUGAAGGGUAGUGACUCAUCAACAAUUUACAUACUCUGCCAUUCAGAAAGUACUUUUGGGCUGAGAGUAGCUUGAUUUCCAUCAAGUGUCACUUCCAUUUAGGCCACUUACUCCUACUUGCUCUUGCAUUAAUGUGGAAUCAUCAUUUUGCCUUGGGCUAGGCGAAUGGGUUUGAUGCUGGGCCUUCGGGCAGAGUCAUGCCUUCUGGGCUUCUUUUCCUUCAGCCCAAAGUUCAAAUAUUUAACCCAAACAGUACCCCAUUCAAUCAUUGUUAAGCCUUCAAGCUUUAGGCGCCAAUAAUGAUUUGAACAGCCGUCAUGCCUUCGCACGCUUCACUCGGAACUUGCAUUUUCUGACGUAGUUAAUGCAAACUUGGGUCGCUUACUCUUCCCGCGAAUUCCAAUCAUCACCUAAUCCCCUUUAUAAAAUCCGGCUCAAUUGUAGCUUCUGGGUUUUUAAAACCGAUUGAUUCUUCAUAUUCCCAGAAUUUCCUCGAGAAAAACCCUCUUAAAGCUUUCGAAUAUUUCCCAACUUGUUCUGUGAUCACUCUCAGUUUCCCAUUAUCCUUUCUUCCUUUAAUUUUUCACCAUGAUACCCGAAGUUCUACGAGCCUAACUCAUUCUUCCAUGUUUAUUGAAGGGAUUGCUAUUAAGCCAUUCCCUUUUGAUGAUUGAUAUGAGCAUAUUUAUGCGACUUAGUUAGCUUGUUGUUUUGCAUUUUCAUAGUUAGUUUGUGUUUAUUAUAGUGAUUUAAGCUAUUUUCGUGUGUUUCUAGGUCCAAUUGACAAAAUUGGCAAGAAAGUGCGAUUUGGAGCAUUUUGAGGUAGUUUUGGGCAUUAAAUGGAUAGCUUAUGAAUGGAGCAAGAUGGAUGGACGAAUUUGAAGUUCAAGAGGCUGGGAAUGUGCUGAAAAGAUGAAGAAAAUAAAUCCAAGACAAAAAAGAUAAGGAAUCAGCUCAAAAGAAGGAACAUUAUCCAAAACCUUAUCUUAUCCAAACUAACCUUAUCUUAUCUUAUCCUUGCCUAAUCUAGCUUUAUCCUAUCUUAUCUUAUCCAAAUUAGUUUGUGACUUAAAUCCAGGUACAAGGGGACCUAAAAACCUGAUUUCUAGAAGGCUUAUCAUUUCCCUACAUUCAUGAUGCACCCUUAUCCUUCUAGAACCUUAAAUUGGUGCUGUGAUUACCCUUUCUAGAAGACCCUAAUUAUCUGGCGCCUCUUCCUCUUCUAGAAGCCUAAGAAUCUGCUGGAAACCUUAAUCCUUUUCCUUAGGGAUUGUGCAAUCCAAAUCCUUAGGGAUUGUGCCGUGCCUUUUAGCCUAUAAAUACACAUCUCUGCCGCAUAAAUCAAACCACCCACGCACCCACAUACAUUCAGAUAUAAUUGAGAGAUUUCAGAGAGUUUUAAAGGUGCACUUGCGUGGAGGAAAGAGAAGGAGAAGCUUGUGUCGUGGCUUGCAAUCCAAGGGAGAGUUCGAAAUCUGCCAUUGGAGCUGCUAGGACGUUCUUGGUUCUUUCUAUCCUUAGAUUUGUUUCAAUGUUGCUUUUAAUUUGGUUUUAUGUUUUUAAAGACAUGACGAACUAAUCUUUUUUUAGUUGGAGGUGAAUUCGAAGCCAUGAUUAUAUACUUUAUAUGAAUUGAUUACAUCCAGUUAUUGUUUCUAAAUUCUUGAGUGUGAUUUGCUUAUAUGCGUUAUCAAAACUUGUUUAUGUAUGUUAAUUGAGGAUGCAUACUUAGUUUGGCUGUAUAAAUUUGAUGCUAGAGUAUAAGGGAGUUUCACCUAAUCGUUAUGAACUUAUAUUCACAAGUAGUAAAGGUUGCUAGUCACAAUCGUGUUAAGUAAAAUCCUUGGCAGGAGUAUCAUGCUUUUCAUAGUUACGAAUGCCUUGUCAAUACUUAUGAUUUUCAAAGAACUUAAUGACCUUUGAUAUGUUUUCUAUCAUGCUUUUCAUAGUUAGGGGACUUGAUAAGGAUAAUUUGGUUGUGAUGCGUAUCCUGUCUAAUUCAAUGAAAUAAGGAAAAUCUGAUGAUUAAUUUCUGCUGUCACGGUUAACUUAGGGUGUUGUCAUUCGUGGUUUAAAGGAACAAUACUGGAAAUUGGUUUAUGUUUGCAUAUGUCAUGUGUGGAGAGGGACCCUUUAACUAGCUUUUCACUCUUGAAUUCACUUAAAUUCGUUUUUAAAUUGCUUUGUUUCUGCAAGUUCUUUGUUUUAGUUUUAAUUCCGUCAAAACAAUCCCCCCUUUAAUUAAGUGUGUUAGUUUAGUUAGAAACUUGUUUAAAUCUGUCCAAAUUAGUGUUUUGAGUCAAGUAAGUCUUAAAUUCGUCCAAAUAACUCUUCAGUGUCAGUUUUGAGUCUUUUUUAUUGUUUUGUGCUUUUUUGAGUUAGUUUAGUUUGUUUUGAGUCAUAUAAGUCUAGUUAAGAGUCUGAGAGUCUAGUUUUCUGUUUUUAAGAUUAAUUUUGUGUUUUUAAGUCAGUUUUUAGUAGAUUAGCAUCCCUAGUUAAUACUCGGUCUAGAACGAUCCCUACUUACAUCUUUGCUACAAUUGUCAUCAAUAGGGUUUAAUUUGUGUGUCAAGUUAAUUUUCACAUCAAAUUUUGGCGCCGUUGCCGGGGAUUAGCAAACUUGCUAAUCUCUUUUGUUUGAGUCAUGUUUUUGUGUGUGUUUAAUUAUGUCUUUGCCGUGCCUUUUAAUUAGUUACUGAUUUGUUUUGUUUCUUAUUUCAGGUACUAGUUUAUGACUCGUAGUUCUCAACCUAUUAGUGCAAACAUCUUGGAGUUCGACGACAAUUUUGAACGAACUUUGGGAAGAAAGAGGAAGCAAUUAGAACCUAAUCCACCUAGUUCAAGUUCAGAGCCCGAAUCUGAAUUUAAGGAAGAAGAAGAAGAAGAGUAAGUCAUGGCAGUGGACAAUCGUACGAUCAAAGAACUUUCAGCCUCAGGGUUGGACAAUGUCGUACCCCUUUGCAUUCAAUACCCCAUGGCUGCCCAAGGAAAGAUUGAUGAGUUCGAGUUGAAGUCAAGCUUGCUACAUCAUAUUCCCAAGUACCAUGGGCUGUCUAUGGAAGAUCCAAACAAUCAUCUUAAGGAGUUUGAAGUGGUAUGUUCGAGCAUGACACCCAUCAAUGUCGAUGGGAACAUUCUGAAGAUGAAAGCCUUUCCAUUUUCUCUUAUGGACAAGGCUAAAGAUUGGCUAUACGAAUUAGCACCUGGAAUUGUCACUUCUUGGGAAAGUAUGAAACGAGCAUUCUUGGAAAAAUUCUUCCUAACUUCGAGAGUUAUUCUUUUGAGUAAGAAGACAAGUGGCAUUCAACAAAACCAAGGCGAAUCUUUCCCAACAUAUUAUGAGUGUUUUAAGGGUCUAGUUACAUCAUGCCCUCAACAUCAAAUGAAGGAGAAGCUGUUACUUCAAUAUUUCUAUGAAAGACUCCUCCCAAUUGAAAGACAAAUGCUAGAUGCCUCGGUAGGUGGUGCUUUGGUUGACAAAACUCUGAUGGCUGCCAAGAUCUUAAUUGCAAACCAGGCCUUAAAUGCACAACAAUAAGAAGGUGUUGGACAAAGAGACACCCCACGACAACAAGUCCAUAAGGUAAGUUCAAUGGCUGAAAUUCAAUCUCAAUUAGCUAACCUCACUAUGCUUGUGUCUCAGGUUGCCAAAGGAUGCAAAGUACAAGGAAAUACACCAAGUGUAUGUGGCGUGUGCUCUAUGCAAGGGCACCUCAA